UUUUUUUUACUGUCUCAAUGGUUGUACUUCGGAUCAGAUGUAAGUUUUAGUUAAGUAUUUAUGUUAUGAAGUGUGAAAGUUUAUUAAAUUUUAGCUACGAAAGCACUGUUCCGAAGUUCCUUACUUUUGGUCAUGUUGUGUAUUUGUUUCAACUUGGUGGACAGACCCUUGCUAUGUACAAAAUAAACUAAAAGUUUCCAUGAAAGAUAGAUAUUUGUGUCUAUAAAUUGUUGUGAACAAAACAAUUUGCUAAAAAGCCUCAAGUAAUGCAACAAAUUUCAUCAUAACUAUUUAUUACUCUAUUGCUUGGACCAUAGUCUACAUAGUCGCGGCUGAUCGAUGGGCACGGCGUGUCUCCGCGCGGGCUAAGCUAGUAUAUAUAAAGAAGGAAUGAAAUGGUGUAAAGACUGAGGGCCACGUCAUCAUUAAAAUCAGGCCCCGCUAUCAGUUUUCAUGUCAAAAUGUGGUCAAUCGUUGUUUUAGUGUUUUUAGCAAAUGGAUUUUAACACAGUACACUUACAUACACUCAUCACCAAUAUGAACGCACACACGCACGUACACCCUAUCCCUAUGAUCAUCUUCGAGAUACUGAGACCACCGGCGGAGCUAUGUGGUGUGCUGCAGAUGCCAUGCGCNNNNNNNNNNNNNNNNNNNNNNNNNNNNNNNNNNNNNNNNNNNNNNNNNNNNNNNNNNNNNNNNNNNNNNNNNNNNNNNNNNNNNNNNNNNNNNNNNNNNNNNNNNNNNNNNNNNNNNNNNNNNNNNNNNNNNNNNNNNNNNNNNNNNNNNNNNNNNNNNNNNNNNNNNNNNNNNNNNNNNNNNNNNNNNNNNNNNNNNNNNNNNNNNNNNNNNNNNNNNNNNNNNNNNNNNNNNNNNNNNNNNNNNNNNNNNNNNNNNNNNNNNNNNNNNNNNNNNNNNNNNNNNNNNNNNNNNNNNNNNNNNNNNNNNNNNNNNNNNNNNNNNNNNNNNNNNNNNNNNNNNNNNNNNNNNNNNNNNNNNNNNNNNNNNNNNNNNNNNNNUUUAGGAUGAUACAAAUUAAGAUAAAUACAAUAUUUGGCCCCUCCAUGCUAUUAUAUUUGGCUAUUUGCCCCCUCGGUAAUAUCUCGCUAGCUCCGCCACUGACUGAGACUUGAGUUAGGUGCGUAGCUCGUUCCCGGGGUAAUUAAGAUCCACAAUGGCUUAGGGAUUAUUCUCUCCGUUCCUUAACGUAAGUGUUUUUAGACAUUUCAAUAUGGACUAUAUACGAAGCAACAUGAGUGAAUCUACACUCUAAAAUACGUCUAUAUACAUUCCUAUGUUGUUCAUAUUGAAAUAUCUAAAAGGAGUUAUAUUAAGGAAAGGAGGGAGCACGAAAAGCUCUUGGUACUCCAUAUCUAGCGGGAUCUGGACACCCGUUUUAACUCCCACAUAUUCAUGAAGUUCCCGAGUGAACCUUUGGUUCUCGAAUACCAUUCCCUUUGCUUCAGGAAACAUUACAAAACUCGAAGAAAGAUUUUAUCGGCAUUGAUGGUGAAAAACUAGGCAGAUUCUUGCAUAGGGUUACUCAUGGUGCAGAGCGCACAUAGAGGAUCAUAAUAGGGUAUUGCGACUUCUAACCUGUGUUGGAAUUUUCCCUGAAGAGGAGGGGAGAUGAAGUAUAGUGGAGAUAAGUAUUUCCCUCAGUGAUAACUAAGGUUAUCAAACCAAUCAGAGAACCAAGCACACUCCCCCAAGGAGCACCUACACGAACAAAAGCAAAUACUUGCACCCAAUGUGGGCAAAAGGGGUGUCAAGCCCCAUGAACUCGUUACUUGCUAGGAUUAAUUCUAGUAGUGAUAGAUAGAUAAAUUUCAAAAUAAAAUAAAAGUAAAUAAAUUACAGCAAGGUAUUUUUCUGUUUUUAUAUAUGAUAAAGGUAGACCCGAGGGCCAUAGGUUUCACUAGAGGAUUCUCUCUCGAAGACAAAGCAUGCGGUGGGUAAACUACUCUUGGGCAAUUGAUAGUAAUGUGCAUAGUUAUGAUGUUAUUCAUGACAAUGAUCACACAUAUAGGCAUCACGUCCAUGACAAGUAGACCGAAUCCUGCCUGCAUCUACUACUAUUACUCCACCAAUCGACCGCUAUCCAGCAUGCAUCUAUGGUAUUAAGUUCAUGGCAAACAAAGUAACGCCUUAAGAAAGAUGACAUGAUGUAGACAAAGUAAACCCAAUAAAUAUGAAUAAAUCCCGUGAUUUUAACCUUAAUGGCAACAGUAGAAAUACGUGUCUUGGCCCCUUCUAUCACUGGGAUAUAGAGCACCGCAAGACCGAACCCAUUACAAAGUAUCUGUCCCACUGAAGACAAAUCAAUCUAGUUGGCCAAACCAAACAGAUACAUCAUAGAAAAAUACAAAGCUAUCAUAAUCAUGCAUAAUAAAGUUCAGAAAAGACUCAAUUACUUGCAACGAAUAAUCUGAUCAUAAACUCGUAAUUCAUGCUUUGUAGUGGGUUUAAUCUGGCGGUGCUCUAUAUCCUAGUGACAGAAGGGGACACGACAUAUGUUUGUAUUGUUGCCAUUAAGAGUCAAACGAUGGGGUUUAUUCAUAUUGAUUGGGUUUACUUUUCCUACAAUAUGUCAUCUUGCUUAAGGCGUUACUUUGUUUGUCAUGAACUUAAUACCAUAGAUGCAUCCUGGAUAGCAGUCGAUUGUGGAGUAAUAGUAGUAGAUGCAGGUAGGACUCGGUCUACUUGUCUCCGACUUAUAGACUUGACAUUAGGGUCAAUGGAGCCACGUGGACCCUACAAGGUAACAUGGCGCCCCAGGGGGGUUGGCCGCAGCCUGUUGCCUUGUCGGCAACUAGUGGCCCCCCUCUGGUGGAUCUUUGCUCCAAUAUUUUUUAUAUAUUCCACAAAAAUUUCGAAAAAGUUUCGCCCGAUUCUGAGAACUUUUAUUUUAGCACAAAUACAACACCAUGAUAGUUCUGCUGAAAGCAGCGUCAGUCGGGGUUAGUUUCAUUCAAAUCAUGCAAAUUAGAGUCUAAAUCAAGGGAAAAAGCGUCUGGAUAAGUAGAUAUGACGAAGACAUAUAAAUGAUCAUGUAUAUAGGCAUCAAAUACUAUCUUCCCGAGAAAAAAUAAGACAAGAAGUUUCAUCAUGUUUUACGAUACGAAGCCACCACCACGUCCUGAUCUUCAUCAAGAAGUUUGUUCUAGAGUCUGUUCGGGGCUCUAGAGAGGGGGAUUCGUCGCCAUCAUCAUCACCAACCCUUAUCCAUGACCAAUUCAUGAUGCUCAUCGCCGGAGUGAGUAAUUCCUUCAUAGGCUUGCUGGAAAGUGUUAGAGUUGGAUAUGAUUUAUCAGGGUUUUGGACGAAAACUCAUCUCUUACAAAGGGAUUUCAUUUUUUAAACAUAUUUUAACUCCAGACUUUUUGUGCGUUCAAUAUGAACCAUUCAAAGACACAUCAUCAAUUUUCAACCCUUUUCUGACUUCAUUUGCAAUUUUUAAUGCAUUUAAUAUUUUUUAGCUAAAUGACCCUAAAGUUGAAAAGCACUACAAAUGAACUCUGAAAAGGUUAAAACCUAGCAUGGUAUCAUCAUUUCACCCACAUAUCAUGUGCUAAAAAGUUGAGAGGGUUACAGCAAAAACUGGAUGCACUUCGGGUACAAACUGGAUAAUCUCUUUCGAAGUAUCAGGGUUUCGAACGAAAACUCAUCUCUUACAAAGGGAUUUCAUUUUUUUAAUAUUUUAACUACAGACUUUCUGUGCGUUCAAUCUGAACCAUUCAAAGACAUAUCAUCAAUUUUCAACCCUUUUCUUUUCUUUAUUUAUUUAGUUUAUACCAUUUCUUUUUUUCUCCUUUUUUGGCCCGGCCCCAUUGGCCAGGGCAUAGCCGGCCAUAGGGUGGGGGUUCUGCGCAUGCACGCACACACUAAGAAUGGCACGGCCGACGGCGAGCCACGACGGGGCUCGGUCGGAGAAGGGUGGUGCGGGCCGGAGAGGUCAGGGGGGUCGGGGCGCGGCCAGGGGCGACGAGUAGCGAGGCGGGGAUGCGCGUGGCUAGGCGGAGGCGAGGCCAGGGAGGGGCAGAGAGCGGCACAAUAGGUGGUGGGCGGCUGAGAAUAGGGGCGGCGGCAACAGCUUGAGCACGUCCAGGCCACGGCGGGCGGGCUCGCGAGCAUGGGACAGCAGGCACGUGGGUUCAGCGGCGAUUGAAGCCAGCAUCGCCAGUAGCAUGCAGCAAGCGACAGUGCAAGGCAUGGGCUACCAACGGCUAGCAGCGGCGCAGUGGCACGGUCGUGGGGCCGGCUCGGCAAAAGCGGGCUCGGCCGGCCGAAGGUGAGGCGCAGAUGCGGGUGCACAGGGGCAGGGACGGCCAUGGCCAUGGGUGUGGUCGGCAGUGGCGAUGGCGGGCGAGCAGUGGGGGCAGCGGGUCACGGCUGGAGAGGCGACACCACAUGCAGCAGGUACCAGCAGAAGCAGAAUCAGCACCGGCAGCGCAUAGUGACAACAGGGCGAGAAGCUGCAACAUUACGCAACAACAUAGGGAGCAGCGGCGGCGGCAACAGUGAUGGAUCCACAUGGGAGAGAGAGGGGAAGGAGACAGGGCCUCACAGCGGGUGCAUUGGUGUGGCGUGCUCGGGCCUCGGGGGGGUCAGGGGGGCCGCGGUGGUUGCGGAUCAAGCGACGGCCGAGGCGAUCUAGUUGGGGAUGAUGGAUCAAAACGACGCCUCGGCGAUGACCUGCGGCAAAUGACUAGGCAUAGAUGACGUAGAAGGCUUCGACGAUGCUGUUGGACAACCCGAGUGGCAUCCCCUCUUUCUUCUAACAACCAUCGGUAUUUUACUUGAAACUAUAUUUUUAUUCGUCACAUAUUAUGAAUUUUGCUUGGAGCGUCUUGUAUGAUAUGAGUCUUUGCUUGUUUUGCUUUUUGUUUUAAGUAAUGAAUCCUUGCUUGACACACUUAUUUGAGAAAGCCAAAAUUAUGCUAUGACUUGUUAGAACUGCUCUCUAUGCUUCACUUAAAUCUUUAUGAGCUAUGGAAUUGCUCUAGUGCUUCACUUAUUUCUUUUUGAGCUCGGUGUCCUUUAUUAUUUUUGAAGAAAUGCUCUCAUGCUUCACUUAGAUUUAUUUGAGAAUUAGUAAUUUUUUUAAGAAAUUCUCUCUUGUUUCACUUAAAUUAUUUUGAGAGAAGAAACUUUUAUGCUCAUGUUCUUCACUCAGAUUUGUUUGAGCUAUCAAAAGCAACAUAUGAAAUUAGUCCCAAAGUAACAGAUAUCCAAGAGGGAUAUAAUAAAAACUUCCAUGAAGAUCAUUGGACAAAAUAAACGUGAUUCUUUGUAAUAGUUUUGAGAUAUGAUGAUAGUGAUAUGUGAGUCAUGUUGAUGAGUAAUUAUGCUUUAGUAAGAAUAUUUGUGUUAAGGUUUGUGAUUCCCUAUGCAAGAACGAAAGUCAAUAGUUAUGCAAUGAAAUUAAAUCCUACUUGUGGUGCAUUAUUCGGUGUUAGUCGCACCACCUCUUUGAUCUAUAAAUACCCCAAUAUUCUUGAAACCCUAGGGGAGUCGACAAAAAUCAAUUCUAGUCGCGACAAGUUCCAGAACCACCAGAUCCAAUCUAGACACCAUCACGGAGGGGUUCAUCAUCCUCAUUGGUGCCUCUCCGAUGAUGCGUGAGUAGUUCAUUGUAGACCUUCGGGUUCGUAGUUAGUAGCUAGAUGAUUUCCUCUCUCUCUCUCUCUUGAUUCUCAAUACAAUGGUCUCUUGGAGAUCUAUUUGAUGUAACUCUUUUUCUGGUGUUUUUUUGGGAUCCGAUGAACUUUGAGUUUAUGAUCAGAUCUAUAUUUUUAUCCAUGAAAGUUAUUUGAGUCUUUUGAUCUCUUAUAUGCAUGAUAACUUAUAGCCUCACAUUUCUUCUUCGAAUAUUUGGUUUAGUUAGGCCAACUAGAUCGAUUUUUCUUUCAAUGGGAAGAGGUGUGUUGUGAUGGGUUCGACCUUAUAGUGCUUGAUCCCAGUGACAGAAGGAGAACCGACACGUAUGUAUCGUUGCUAUUAAGGACAACAAGAUGGGGUCUAUUUCUACAUAAAUAGAUCUUGUCUACAUCAUGUCAUCGUUCUUAUUCAUUACUCCAUUUCUUCAUGAACUUAAUACACUAGAUGCAUGCUGGAUAGUGAUCGAUGUGUGGAGUAGUAGUAGUAGAUGCAGGCAGGAGUCGGUCUACUAAUCUUAUACGUGAUGCCUAUAUAACACUAGUGCAGAACCGGGCUAUAGCACCGGUUCGUAAGGGCUUUUAGUGCCAGUUGUGCAACCGGCACUAAAGGGUGGGGACUAAAGUUCCCUCCCCCCCCUUUAGUACCGGUUUUAGUCCCCACCCUUUAGUGCCGGUUCAUCACAAACGGCCACUAAAGUGCCACCACGUGGCACGAGCCAGGGCCGGGUGCGGGGAGACCUAUAGUACCGGUUGGUAACACCAACCGGUACUANNNNNNNNNNNNNNNNNNNNNNNNNNNNNNNNNNNNNNNNNNNNNNNNNNNNNNNNNNNNNNNNNNNNNNNNNNNNNNNNNNNNNNNNNNNNNNNNNNNNNNNNNNNNNNNNNNNNNNNNNNNNNNNNNNNNNNNNNNNNNNNNNNNNNNNNNNNNNNNNNNNNNNNNNNNNNNNNNNNNNNNNNNNNNNNNNNNNNNNNNNNNNNNNNNNNNNNNNNNNNUUUAAAUUUUUCCUUUAGUUUUGUGUUUUCAAUUUAAUUUAGAGAUUGUUUUUACAUUAUAAUGAGUUGUUAAAUCAUUAGGUGAAAGUACCCGCAGAUUAGUUUCAACUGGAUGCAUGCAUGGAUCCUAGCUAAGUGAUCAAAGUAUAUAUGCCAUAUCCAUAUAUAUUACUUGAUCACUUAUAUUAGGUGAGCAUGUAAUUAAUAUGGAUAUGGCAUAUACUUGAUCACUUAGCUAGCUAGGAUUCAUCCAGUUGAAACUAAUCUGCGGUUUCUUUCAUAAAUGAUAUAAUAACUUAUUAUCAUCAUAUUAAUAUAAAAACUAUUACAUCAUAUAUAUCAUCACCAACAAGUUAACGGUAUACUAGCUAGCUAAAAAUCAUUAUAGUCGUCAUUACCACUAUUUAAUCAUCAUAGUCAUUACCGCUAUCUAAUCACCACCAAUACCAGCUUAAAGAAGAAACAUUCACUUUGUACCAGAAGGAAAGAUAUCAUCGAGUUCAACAUGAUCACUCUUUGAGAUUAAGUUCAGGACAAAGAACACGAACAUGAGAGGACAAGUACUAAGAGCAUGCUAAUCACUCCUGCUGCUCUCUCUCUCUCUCAGGUAAAAUGGCAUAGAACAUGUGUAGCUCUCCUGAUUCAUCAUAUUGGAGCAUGCAGAUGAACCUGUCUCCUAAUCGUGGGUUGCGCUUCUGCUUGUUGACUCCUAGUACUUCUCUGCGAUCAUUCACAAUUUUGCUCCAGUCUUUCACUAUUAAGCAUUCCUCGGUUCUAGAAAUCCUGAAUGCACUCGUGUGCAAUGUAGGAUGUCUUGGCUGUAAGCUAACAAUUGGCAUGCGACCGUUAGUCAAGAUCCACUGAGGCACAACUAUCAUUGGGAGACCCUGUUGAAGAGAACAUCGUAUAGUAUCAUACUUAGCAACAUGAAGUUUAAUUAGAUUAAAAAAUAAUGUAUGCAAAAGAUGCACUGAGGACAAAUUGUAAAAAUCUUACCAUCUUUCCUAAAUACAUGUGACCGUAGUUCGAUACAAACACUAUUGGUCGCACGUUUUGAGUACUAAGAUUUGCAAGUCUAGGAAAAUAAUUUCUCUUGACAGCAUCAAGAUCCUCAAGCCAUGAUUGACUUAUUUUCUCGCAGUUUAGUUUAGCCCUAGGACAGUGGACGGCCCUGGCUACCAAGCGCUGGAAAUGUUUGCUUGAAUGGAAAUAAGCUAUCAAUAGAAAUUAGUUGUCAACUGUUUUUGAAAAAACAAUAUCAACAUAAAUAUGGCAUGAGAAACUCACAUAAUGGUAGAACUAGAGGCGCGUGUUUNNNNNNNNNNNNNNNNNNNNNNNNNNNNNNNNNNNNNNNNNNNNNNNNNNNNNNNNNNNNNNNNNNNNNNNNNNNNNNNNNNNNNNNNNNNNNNNNNNNNNNNNNNNNNNNNNNNNNNNNNNNNNNNNNNNNNNNNNNNNNNNNNNNNNNNNNNNNNNNNNNNNNNNNNNNNNNNNNNNNNNNNNNNNNNNNNNNNNNNNNNNNNNNNNNNNNNNNNNNNNNNNNNNNNNNNNNNNNNNNNNNNNNNNNNNNNNNNNNNNNNNNNNNNNNNNNNNNNNNNNNNNNNNNNNNNNNNNNNNNNNNNNNNNNNNNNNNNNNNNNNNNNNNNNNNNNNNNNNNNNNNNNNNNNNNNNNNNNNNNNNNNNNNNNNNNNNNNNNNNNNNNNNNNNNNNNNNNNNNNNNNNNNNNNNNNNNNNNNNNNNNNNNNNNNNNNNNNNNNNNNNNNNNNNNNNNNNNNNNNNNNNNNNNNNNNNNNNNNNNNNNNNNNNNNNNNNNNNNNNNNNNNNNNNNNNNNNNNNNNNNNNNNNNNNNNNNNNNNNNNNNNNNNNNNNNNNNNNNNNNNNNNNNNNNNNNNNNNNNNNNNNNNNNNNNNNNNNNNNNNNNNNNNNNNNNNNNNNNNNNNNNNNNNNNNNNNNNNNNNNNNNNNNNNNNNNNNNNNNNNNNCGGAGGCGCGUAGCGACGACGGCGUCGGGGGCGGCGCACGGACGGGGGCGGCGACGACGGCGACGGGGGCGGUGACGGGGGCGGCGCGUGUGGGGACGGGGCGCGACGAAGAUGGAUGAUAACUGAAAAUUUCCGUAAGUGCUGGUUAUAUAUGGGAGGCCUUUAGUACCGGUUGGAGACAGGAACCGGUACUAAAGGUUAAGUUUUGCCAGGCGAAGCGGCGGGAAGCGACCCCCUUUAGUACUGGUUCGUGGCACAACCCGGUACUAAAGACCCACCCUUUAGUACCGGUUUGAGCCAUGAACCGGUACUAAAGGAGGUGCGCUCCCGUUCCGCGCUGCUCAUUGUUUAGUCCCACCUCGCCGAGCGAAGGACAGCCGCACUGGUUUAUAAACCCAGCUGUGGUUGCUCCCUCGAGCUCCUAUAUAAUGCAGGCCUGUGGGCCUAACUUUGCCGCGCUGCCCUGUGAGCCUGUUGGGCCUUAUGGGCCUGCAUAUGCACGUCCAAGGACGAGAAAGCCCACUGGGCAGUGCGGAAAUAAUUUUUUUCAUAUAAGUUUUUUCUUUUGUGGUUUAUAUAUUUUCUUCUAUUUAUUUGUGAAUAGUUUUUUGCUGUAUUUAGAGUUUAUUAUAUUUAAUAUUAGUGUGUUUUAUCAUUAUAUUCAUAUUUGUAGUGAUUUUUCAGUUCAUUUUGUACUGCUUUUCACUUUCACGGUGAUUUAGCUCUGAAAACAAAUUAGUAAAUGUAUCGGAAAUAGCAAAUUAUGUCAGAAAGGGUUGAAAGUUGAUGACGUGAAUUUGAAUUGUGCAUCUGAACGCAAAAAAGUCUGGAGUUGUACUAAGUUAUUAAAAUAUUGAAUAGCCGGUGUAAUAGAUGAGUUUUCGUCUGAAACCCUGAUACUUCCUAAGAGAUUGUCCAGUUUGUACACGAACUGCAUCUAGUUUUUGCCGUAACCCUCUCUACUUUUUUGCACAUGCUAUGCGGGUGAAAUGAUAAUACCUUGCCAAGUUUCAACCUUUUAGAGUUCAUUUUGUAGUGCUUUUCACUUUCACGGUGAUUUAGCUCUGAAAACAAAUCAGUAAAAACAUCGAAAAUAGCAAAUUAUGUCAAAAAGGGUUUAAAGUUGAUGAUAUGGAUUUGAAUUAUGCAUAUGAACGCAAAAAAAGUCUGGAGUUGUACUAAGUUAUUAAAAUAUUGAAUAGCCGGUGUAACAGAUGUGUUUUCGUCCGAAACCCUGAUACUUCAUAAGAGAUUGUCCAGAUUGUACACGAAGUGCAUCCAGUUUUUGUUGUAACCCUCUCUACUUUUUUGCACAUGCUAUGUGUGGUUCUCUUGCUGGUUCGAUAACCUUGGUCUCAUCACUGAGGGAAAUACCUACCGUCGCUAUUUUGCAUCAUCCCUUUCUCUUUGGGGAAAUACUGACGUAGUUCAAGCUGACAUCAUCCACCUGCCGACAUUCUCCCUCUUCAUGUAAAUCUUGUAAAACAAGAGAGAAAAGGCAUAAGUAGUGUGCCAUAAUGUGUACCAUGAUGCAAUAAAUAUCAACAUAAAAGCAUGAUGCAGAAUGGACGUAUCAGCUCCCCUAAGCUUACACCUUGCUUGUCCUCAAGCAAAAAUCGAAAUCGAGAAAUAUGUCCACAUGUUUAGAGAUAGAGGUGUCGAUAAGAACAAAAUACAGACAUGAGGGCAUCAUGAUCAUCUUUAGAACAACAACAUAUGUUGUCAUAUAAUUUCUUAUGCCAAAGUAACAUUUCAUUCACAAGGUAAAGUACGAAUCAAAAACUUCAUUGAAAACUAACAAACCAUGAUCUCAGUCAUUGGAGCAAUUGCAAUUUAUCAUAACAUCAGAAAGAGUCAAUAUAAGAGCUUUUCAGCAAGUCCACAUACUCAAAUAUCAUUUAGCCUUUCACAAUUGCUAACACUCACGUGAUACUUAUGGGUUCAAAGUUUCAGUCGGACACAGAGAAAGAUAGGGGCUUAAAGUUUUGCCUCCCAAUCUUUUACCUGAAGGGUAAUGUCAACAAUAAUGUUUUAUGAUAACCUAUAUCCAAGUGGGUAUAUAUAUCUGGAUCUCUCCACCACAUAGUGGUUGCCAAAAAGAAAAAGUGUAAAAAAGAACGGUGAAGAUCACCAUGACUCUUGUAUAAGGGUAGAGGAUAAAAGCACAAGAUAGGCCCUUCGCAUAGGGAAGCAGAGGUUGUCAUGCGCUUUUAUGCUUGGAUGCACAAAAUCUUAAUAUAAAAGAACGUCACUUUAUAUUGUCGCUUGUGAUAAACAACUUUAAUAUGCAGUCCGUCGCUUUUAAUGUAGUAGAAAAUAUUCUGAACCCUGGCCGGCAGUAGCAGAACCGAGCCAUUUACUUGCACAUCUCCCUCCUUGUCAGGAACAACGAGACUGCAUCUUUUGAAGAAAUCGACACAUUCUGUUGUUAACUGAAGAAAUCGACACCUGUCAUGCUGUUAACUAAAGAAAUUGACACCCAGCACGCAGUCGAUUGGCGGGCUCAACGUCGACCGUCUGAUCUUAAUUACCUUUAUUUACUGCCUCCUUGUUCAGCUGCUUUGCUUUAUUAGUGUUAAAGUUAAGAUUACCUUUCACUGGUUGUAAUGGGUAUAAAACCAACCCCGGAUCUAUCUUAGAGGUAAAUGCUGCGUGCCCUUAAUCCGCUAUAUAUUUCUCUUGCGGUCAUCCUCUGAAUUUCACCUAGGUGCUUGGUGGUUUAAUGUGUGAGUGGUUUAGUUUUCCGAACUCCCUCCGUUCCAAAAUAUAUGACCCAACGGGAAUACGUAGUUGGGUCUUCUCACUCCUUUGCUGCUGCUUAAUUUGCCCGACAGACGUCAACAUGGAACGGAGGGUACGUAGCUGCUCAUCUCAGCUGUUGGUGAAAUAGAUGGUCAGCUUGUGUUCUUCUCAGCACAAGAAAGAAUGCUGCUCAUCUCAGCUGGCUUGCUUCAUGCCCUAGCCUUGCAACUUCAAAUAUAUUCAUGCAUUUGCAAAAAACCACAUACCUCUAUCAAUAUUGCAACUUCAAAUAUAUUUAUGUCUUUCUAGAUUGUCCACUGGCUAAGAUUCUUUGGCGUUCGAUUCAUAUUGCUUUUAAUAUUACUUCACCUACCUCUAUCAAUAUGUUAUUUGGAACAUGGCUUGAUGGGGUGAACUUGGAUGUAGCAAGACACAUUCGUGUUGGCGUGUGUGCCUUGUUAUGGGCAGUAUGGAACUGCAGAAAUGAUUUGGUUUUUAACAGAGCAACGAACUUUCAUUUUUUGCAGGUUAUCUUCAGGGCCACAGCAUUGAUCCGUAUGUGGUCGCUACUCACUCCCACGGAGGCCAGGGGGCGUUUGGCUACUGCGUCUACCCGAUGGGAGAUGGUAGCUCGGGUUAUUUUCAACCGGUUUGGAUGGCGGUCAUGUAAUAGGAUAGGCAUGUAGUGCUUCUAUUUUAUUUGCCAGCCGGUUGUGGCUUCAUGAUUAGGCUCGUUUGAGCAGCUUGUUUUCUUUUCGACCUUUCAGAUAUUGGAGACUUUGUGACUCAUUUUGUUUUUUAAUAAUAUGAGCCGUAUGCAUCUUUCUGAUGCAGAGGCUAGGGUAAUACCCCUUUUCUAAAUUUCUUUUUUGCAAAAAACCACGAAUUGGGAAAUUCAAAAAACGUUUCACGAUCUUGGAUUUUUUUUGCUGAUUUGAAAAAAAAAUCGUCGAUUUGAAAAAAGUUCAUGGAUUUUGAUUAUUAUUUUGGAAAUUUAAAAACAUUUCAUCAUUUUUUAAAAAAUAUUUCACGUAUUUGGAAAAAGAUUCAACAAAUCUAUAACAAAAUCAUGAGUUUUAAAAAAAUUCCAGGAAUUUUAAAUAAGAACCAUAAAUUUGGAAAUAUUUUGUGGAUUUGAAUAUAUUCAAUCUUUUCAAGAAAAAACGUGGAUUAAAAAUUUUCACGUGUUUUGAAGGAAACAGUUCAUGAGUUAAAAAAAGUUCAUCAAUUUUAAAAAAGUUCUUGAGUUGUAGAAAAGUUCUGAAUUUUUUAAAAAGGUUUGAAAGUUGGGAAAAUGUGGAUUUGAAUAUAUUCAUAUUUUGAAAAUAAUACUGGCGAAUUCAAAAAAAGUCACGUGUUUUAAAAGAAACAAUUCUUGGAUUUGCAAAAGUUUCCGAAUUUCAAAAAUGUAAAAGAAGGGAGAAGCUACAUUUCCAAACAAAAAACUGGCGAUAAAAAGAAGAAAAUAAUUAAAAAUGAAAAGGGAAAAACGUAAAAAAAAAGGAGAAGGUAAACCAAAUAAAACCGUAAAAACCAAACUAGAAAACUAACAAUAAACUGGUGGAAGCUUCCCAAAAUCAGGAGCUUUCCGCUCAUGCUUGCGAUCAUGGAACGGCCAUUCAAAACAUAAGUACUGAGGGGGGUGCGCUUUUUACCAAUUGCACUUUAACUUUUUUUGAGACACAAUUGCACUAACUGAGCGGCAAAUAGGAUAUGUGAUCUUCAUGUGCCACAAGCCCACAACACAACGUCACAGCCCACAGGCCUGCAGAAAACCUGAGCGGCAAAUAGGAUAUGUGAUCUUCAUGAUCCCGUAAUUUCCUGAUGUAGUUUGGCCUUUUGUUACAAAUGUUAUAUUUAAUAAAAUAUAUUUAAAUACUAUUCGGAGAUUUAAAAAUUUCAUGAAUUUUAAAAUAACAUUCAUUCACAAUAAACCAAUUCAAAAAUAUUUUCUGACUAAACAAAUGUUCAAGAAUAAAAAAAUCACAAAUAUUCAAAAUACUUUAGAAUUUAUAAAUUACUGUGAAUUUUAAAAAAUACUCAUCAAUUUUAAAAAAUGUUUAUGAACUAAAAAUGUGAUAAAAUUUUAUGUAUUUUGCAAAAUACUCGCAAAUUUGAAAAAUGUAACUUAAACUUAAUAAAUGUUGCAAAUUUGAAAAAAACACACAGGAUCUUUGUCUAUAUCUAAUCAUGUGUGGGCAUGGACUUAGUUAGAUCUAUUUUCUUUCUCGAAUACGCAAAAUGUUUGCGCAUCAUUGCAUCAAUAGAAGCAGGGGUUUUUGGAAAUUCUCAUACACAAACCAUGUGCACAACAGAGUGGCCAUUACAGCCUCUCAGGGUUUUUUUUCACCCGCAAAAAAAAGGGUACAUAGGCGUCGAGCCUGGGUGCGCCAGUGGGAAAACAAUGAUUACAGUGUGGUCUAUAAUUUUAGUGACGAUUUAACAGCUUCCCUGUAACGGCUUUAUGUGAGGAAACAGUCUAUGUGAAGAUGUGGGCCUAAGCUACUCUAGGAAUUGUAUAGUUGAAUGCUACUUUUAGUCCUACACCGUGCAUUAUGAGCAACACUAUGUGCAUGCACGAAUAAUUGUUGCCAAGUUAUUCGCGCUAUCUGCCCUGCCGGAUGACACUUUGGACAUGCAUGCUACUCCCUCCGUAAACUAAUAUAAGAGCGUUUAGAAUAUUAAAGUAGUGAUCUAGACGCUUUUAUAUUAGUUUACAGAGGGAGUACAUUGGACUAGCUCAUUGAAGUGACUGUUGGCCGCUGGCUCCUCUGAAGGUUUUCCAUGCUAAUCAGAUACCUUGACAGAAAAAACAUCUGUCAUCCCCCACGGCAACUCGUGCCACAUCACUCCAACAAAACAUGUUGCUCGCUCUCUGGCUAGAUCACCACCUGCAACUCAGGUCAUAUGUAGGCGCUCUCUUCAUAGCCCUUGGAAUGGCAGUGCGAGCGACCAAAGCAAAUCCAAUUGCGGCUCAUCGCGUGUAAAUGUCACGGCUUUUCUCUACCGUCUUUACCCGUUUUUCGUUUUUUUUGUUUUGUUUGGUUUUUCUUUUCGUUUUUGAUUUUAUUUUAUUAUAAAAAUUCCCCUAGUAUUAAAGAAAAACCUUCACCUUUGUCUAAAAAUGUUCACCAAACUUUUUAAAAAAACUUUUUGAUUUCUUAAAAAUGAUCAUGUUGGGGGCCGGUCGUACAGCCCAUGUACCACAUCGGCCCUGCGGCAGCACGGGAGGGAGUAGCCCACCGCCACCAUGGAUCCGACCCACCGUUCCUCCUCCUUUCCUCUGCUCUGCAGCUCUGCCGCCGACGAGUUCAACUCCAACAGGCAACAGCAGACGGCGACGGCGAGGAGGCACCGAGCGGCGGGCGAGGACGAAGCCUCCUCUGGGAGCUUCCUCGAUCCUCUCCUCUGGAGUCUGGAAGCAAGCGUCCCCUGGUCACUCCUCGUCCGCCUGCCCACCAGGUGCUUGUGUUUAUUCCCAUGAGGUUCGUUCCACUGCGACCUAUCUACCUCCACUACCUGUAUACUAUAGUGACCGCCCAACAACUCAGUAGCCGUCCCGUCUCCUUCCGCCCGUCCUUCUAGGUGCAUCCAUGGAAACUAGUACCAAGUAAUGGUCAAUUGGUCAUGCAUGUAGCUAUCGACGACAAGUCAGGAAAGAUAUCAGCCAUAUAUAUGUUCGUCUGCGGCCCUCCCGUUGCUGUCUGUUGGCGACAAUUACUCUUGUCAUACCUUCAAUUCCUGCAAUGCUUAUCUUCAAUCAGCCAUAUAUAGGGUUCCUAAGGUUUCACAGAUAGAGAUACAAGUAAUUGCCAUUAUAGAUAAAUGCGUGCAAAUCACGCGUUCAGACAAGUCUACGAAAAUUAUUUUGCCUAGUCCUACAUGUAGCUAUCAAUACAAGCCAAGAAAUUCAUAAUGGCAUACAUCUAGCUGCCCAGAAAGAUAUCUGCAGGCCGGGUACGUCCAGCCAUACAUCUACGACCCGUUGCUGUGGGAGACAAUUCUUGCUUAUCUUCAAUCAGCCAUAGGAUAGGAUUCAUUCACAUUCCACUCUGAAAAACCAAGUGAGCUGCAUGUGUGGUAAGCUAAGUCAAGUCAAGCAAACUAUCCUCAUCCCCUUACACAGCAGCCACUGGUUACAUAUCUCCCUAUCUCUCCUCUCCUCUCGUGUAUAUGUAAGGUAAGGUGUUCCUCAAGACCUCCUGCAACGACUCAACCCCCCUUUUGCACUAGCCAGGCGGCAUCCAUCACCGGCACCUCGUGCGUGAGUGCGUGCCAACGUAAGUAAGUAGUGCACACUCUUCUCCUUUAACUUGCAGCCAGGAUUGAUCACUUUUGAAUUUUGAUUGGUGACGGAAAAUCUAUGAAUUAAUGACUUCCCUUCGGUUCCUGGAUCGAUGCAGGUGCAGCAAGUCCGUCAAUUAGAGGAUGUCAGACGCGGCCCUCAGUGCGGCGCAAUGGGUGGUGGGCAAGGCGCUAGCCCCCGUCACGGAUGGUCUGCUAGAGGCUUGGGCAGGUAGCAGGAACCUUGGUCUCAACAUUGAGGCCCUCAGUACGGAACUGCUGCUAGUGAAAGCCAUGCUCGAACAAGCUGCUCUCAAGGAGCUCGGUGGCCCAGCCAUGGAGAUACUGCUGCAGAAGCUGCGGGAUUCAGCACACAAUGCCGAAGACUUGCUGGAUGAGCUGGACUACUUCCGCAUCCACGAUGAGCUCCAUGGCACGUACAAUGCUGCUGAACAGCAAGGCAAGAGUGGUGUCCACAACCUUGUCGUCAAUGCUCAUCACAUCGCCAAAGCUCUUGGCAAACAACUAGCAUCUUUGUCUGCGUACUGGUUUGGUGCCAAUGCUGGUGAUCACCGACAACAAGAUGCAAGACAACAUGUUAAUUAUUGUGCUUCACAGCAUGGUAAGAAGAGGUUACGUGGUGAUUUCUCAUCAGCGCCAAAGGCCAAUCAGGCUGAUGAGGAGGCCAGCAGGCGCAUGCCCAAGCUCGGUAAAUUCCUCCAUGGCUCAUCUUCCCCACACCCCCAUGUUCACGAUGACAAUUGCAGCAAUGCACAAGAAACACCAAAGCUUGAGUUUAAUAGGGUGAAUUUCUCUCAAAGGGUGAAGGGCAUUGUAGAGAAACUGCAACUUAUGCGUAAUGAGGUUAGCAAAAUUCUGCAAUGUUGUAGCCCUAGAACUGUCCCAAACAUUGCCUUGAGUCGUCCCAUCACCAAAGGUCGAAUUGAUGAGCCAAAACUGUAUGGGAGGGAUUGGGUCAUGAAUAGCAUCAUACAUGAUAUCACCAAGGGUCAAUAUUGUGACAAGGGUCUAACUGUGCUUUCGGUUGUUGGUCCCGGGGGGAUGGGGAAGACAACUCUGAUACAACACAUAUAUCGCAACCAACAAGUGAAGAAUUAUUUUCCAGUCAUGAUUUGGAUUUGUGUGUCGCUCAAUUUCAGUCUGGAUAAGGUGCUAGAACAAAUUAAAACAUGUACCCCUGCAGUUGAAAAUGAAAAGGAGGGCAGUACAACUGAAGAGUUGAUUGAAGAAAGAUUGAAAUCUAAAAGGUUCUUACUUGUAUUGGAUGAUAUAUGGCAGAUUAGUAAUGGGGAUGACUGGGAAAAUCUACUGUCGAUACUCAAUCAAUCACAAGAAAAGGGUUGCACAAUUCUAGUCACAACUCGGUUUCAAGCAAUAGCACAGAAGGUUAAAACAGGUCAUUCAAUACAAUUGAACGGUUUAGAAUCUGAAGAGUUUAGAAAGUUAUUUUUUGCAUUUGUCUUUGGCGAUGAGCAGUGUGCAAGGGAUAAACAUUUUCUGCUUGAGACUGGAGAUAAGAUAAUCCAAAAACUAAAGGGAUCCCCUCUUGCAGCAAAAACUGUUGGUAGAGUACUCAGUAAAGAACUUAGUUUGCAUCAUUGGAAAAGGGUGCUAAAAAGUAAAGAAUGGGAGACCGAUAACAAUGGAAUUAUGCCUGCCUUAAGGCUUAGCUAUGACUUUCUCCCUUUCCAUCUGCAACAAUGUUUCGCCUAUUCUGCAUUGUUUCCUGAAGAUUAUUGUGUCACAAGCCACCAGCUCAUUGGCCUAUGGACAGGACUAGAUAUUUUGAUACCUGGUGGUCAAAACCAAACAUUGGAAGAUAUAGGUUUGAGCAAUUUAAAUGAGUUAGUAAUCCAUGGAUUUUUCAGAGAAGAGGAAACUUAUGCAGGUCUGCGGUACGUUAUGCAUGACCUACUGCAUGAUUUGGCAUUGAAGGUUGCAUCGCAUGAUUGUCUUAGUUUACGUCUCCCUAAUGUUGAGUCAGUAGAAGUUCAGCCAUCGACCCAUCACUUAUCUAUAAGCAUAGAGGACUUAGGUGAAUAUGAUGCAGUGUCUGGCCAAAAAUUAAAGAGUGAACUGAAAGAACUGAAAACAAGAUUGAAGGUUGAACAUUUGCAAAGUUUGAUGUUAUUUGGAAAAAUAGAUAAAAGUUUUGCCAAGGUAUUUGGUGAUUUUUUUGGGGAAGCAAAUUCUCUUCGUGUUCUUUAUUUGCCCAACAUGAUGUAUCCAGUGGAAUGCAUGUUGCAUAACUUCUCACGACUUGUCCACCUACGAUUCCUGUGUCUAGGGACAUGGGACAGACAGAUACAUUUACCACCUAACAUGUCUAAACUUUACCACUUAAGGGUUCUAGAUCUUGAGUCAUGGUAUGGUAGUCAUGAUUUGCCUGAAGACAUGAGCAACCUUGCCAAAUUGUGCCAUUUUUAUACUCCAAUUGAUUGUUUUAAAACCGGUCCUUUGUAUACCACAAUAGAUGAGCAAUGUUAUGAUAUUUAUAAUGUGGGAAAACUUAUACACUUAGAAGAGUUAGAGGUAUUUCAAGUCAACAAAAAGAGUGAAGGAUUUGAACCAAAGCAACUAGAGACUUUGACCAAGCUAAGGGAGCUUGGAAUGUAUAACCUUCACAAAAUACAUACAAAAGAAGAAGCGGCUCAAGUAAAACUGAUAGAGAAAAACUACCUGAGAAGGUUAACAUUGGAUUGGGAUAGUAAGCGAUCUAAUGUUGACCCUAGUUUGGAAGCAUUGGUUCUUGAGAGACUUCAACCACAUGGAGAUCUUCAAGUAUUGUGCAUUAGAGGGCAUGGAGGCCCUUCUUGUCCAACAUGGCUGGGUGAUGAGUUCGCUAUUGAAGCUAUACAGUCUCUUUAUCUUUCUGGUGUUUCUUGGGAGGUUUUCCCUUCUCUAGGGAAGGCGUGGGAUCUUCGUGAAUUAAGGUUGGAGCAUAUUGGCACACCAAAGGAGUUUAUCAUAGAAAAAAGCUUUUGCAUGCUAAUAAAGCUUGAACUCAUUGGCCUAGAGAGUUUUGAAAAAUGGGUUUGUCCAGCUGAACAAGAGUCUGCCUUGGGUAGAGACCUGUCGCCACCACAUGCUCAUAUGUUCCCUCUUUUGCAAAUGCUAUUUAUUAUGAAUUGCCCGAAAUUCUUGUGGUUGCCUUCUUCAAACCAUAUUGUUUUCCCAGAUUGGUUUCCCAAACUACAAGAGUUUGUAAUUGUGAACUGCCCAAAAUUCCUGUCAGUGACUCCCAUCUCCUGGAUUGAAAGGUUGUGCCAUUUCCAUUUAUCAGAUGUGAAGCUACUACAUUUGUUUAAAUACUCAAAAUCAUCUGAUGGGGUAGAAUUGACGAUUAAUGGAGAGGGUGAUCUACAUAGUUUAGACCAAGUGUUAGUUCUGGAUAAAGAAGCAGGUGUUGAGAAGCUGACACUCGGUAGGUGCCCACCUCUUGAGUUGAAGCACCUUCUGAUGCUAACCUCGCUGAAGACAUUGAUUGUAUUUAGUUCAGAUGCCCUGGUUGGACCACUAGGAGGUCAAGGUGAUUUCGAAUGGCAACUCCCCGUUGAGAAUAUCAGGAUGAAUGACUUAAAUGGUACUAGUGGGAAGGAAUUGAUAAAGCUCCUCCCCCACCUCCCAAGGCUCUCCAAAUUGGAAAUAGAAUACAUAGAAAACAUAGUGGGGGUGGAUCUACAACAAACAACAUCAGCUAUUUCGUUUUUCCGUCAACUUUUUCCUUCCUCCUUGCAAUUCCUGGGGCUUAGGAGUGUGGAAGGCAUGGGGACACUUGAGCCCCUCUCAAGCCUCUCCUCUCUUACCAUAUUAGAAUUGAAUUAUUGCGGGCAUGAUCUGAAAUGUCAGGGCUUGCGGUCUCUCCUUACAUCUGGGGGCCAGCUCAACAAAUUAAAAGUCUUUGGCAGCCCUAGAUUCUUUGUUGGUUGGGAUCCCAAUCCCAGACGGGCGUUGGAGGAUGUUGAAGGAGAAGAGCAGCAAACACAGCUUGUUUCAUCCACACUGCGGGAGCUCUGCACGGAUGAUGCAGCGGGACUCCUUGCUGCACCCAUCUGCAGCUUCCUCUCCUCCCUCUCCGAGUUGGGACUUCGUGGGAAUGGGUCCAAAGAGGUGGAGCGCUUCAGCAAGGAGCAAGAGGACGCCCUUCAACUCCUCUCCUCCCUCCAGGAACUAGAGUUUUGGAGUUUCCACAAUCUUCAGCAACUCCCUGCAAGGCUGCACAACCUUACCAGUCUCGAGAUACUAUCAAUCAGCGACUGUCCAGCUAUCUCAUCGUUGCCCAGUGAUGACCUGCCCAAAUCACUGCAAGAGCUAAAUGUUAGAUACUGCUCGGAGGAGCUAAAACAGCAGUGCAGAGGGUUAGUGGGAACCAUCCCAAGAAUCAUACAACACUGAUCCAAGGUAACACAAACAUACUUUCUUGUGUUUUCCACCUUGCCCUUUUGCUGCAAUCCUACUUAAUGACACUGUUGCGUUUGUUCCUAUCCACUGUGCAGGACUCUGCCUUGGAAUUCCCAUGUACAUUCUUCUAUCUUUCUAGAGCUCAACUCUUUACAUGCAUACACAUUUGCCACCGUGCAUGACCCAAGGGUCUUGUGGCCGUCGUCUUCCUUACUGUACAAAAAAUCUGGUGAGUAACAUAUAAACUGGAAAUUUACUCCUGUAGUGAAAUGUUCAAGAUUCAUUUUUCAAUGCCCCUGUCUUAUGUACAAGUCAAGAAAAGCAAUGUAAUUAUCAGCCAAUGUGUGCUGCAAGUCUCCUCUCUUUUCUUCCUAAAUUUUGUAACCAACGAAAUCUAUGAUCACCAUUUGUUUUGGUUCUCUGUGCAGGUGUUCGUUCAAUGUUAUGGCUUCUUUAUUUUUUGCAUGCAAAUUUGGGUUAUUGUCAUUCAUCAAGGCAUGGUAGUCUACUUGCCUAUUUUGGGUGUCACGGUCACAAUAUCACUGGCGUAAGUAGUGAAUAAAUGAAACAUUGGGGUCAAGCUACUGAUAUCAAGGUCUGACCAGUUUUUCAUACACUGCUACAUUGCUACCAAUUCUAGGUGUUCUCGCAUUCGUAAUUUCUGUUGACUUGCUGUUCAGCUACUUGUGUUUACAUUUGUCCAAAAUCCAUGAAGACUUGAUGGUGUACCUCGAAAGUUCAGUUGUAAGGAUCAAAAGAUCAUCAUGGCAUAAUUAUGGAGUGUUUUGCUACCGACAAGGUUUGCAGUUUCUCAAUCCAGUCUACAUUCUACUGAUACCAGGUAUCCUUAGCAUUUUGUCAUAACUGUUGUUGUUUACUGAAAUUUAAUGGCAUAUAGGGUCUUCACAAGAAUAGCCUGCAUAUAUACCAUAGCAGUGCAUGCACGGACUCAAUUCGGAUCAUAGAGAGUAGUAGUACAGCCUGAUGGUAUAUUGCAUAUUCGUCCUGAAACUGUGAGUUUGUGACUUUGUGCAAGUAUUACAGUGGGCCAAUCACAUCCACAUGGAGAGAUGAUGCUUUUUGUACUAACUAACAAGCAACUCCUCUGUGCAGGUCAUAAUGACAAACUAACAAGCAAGAUUAUCAUUUCCUUAAGCCCCAAAGGCCACAAGAUGCAGCUGACAACAUUUUAUUUCGAAAACUCAGCACUGCAAAGGUAACAAGGGAUUAUGCAUUUGUAUUCUGAGUAGAGGACGUUAUGUAUGUAUAAUCAGCUAAGGGAACGACUGGUCCAAUUUUGCAGGUGUGAGCAACUGCAGAAAGGUCUAGAUGCCACUGAACAGUCCAGGGCACCGAGAGAAACACGAUUUGUCCCAUACUCGCGGCGGUACACAAGGACUCCUACACACUUGCUCGAUGACUACAGCAAUGGGUGUACCUAAAACACCGGAGAAGGCUCAUUCAUGUGAGGUACAUAGGCUCCCCAGCGACUGGCAACUCUGCAAGAUGGCUACAUGUUCUUAUUAGGUUAACCGACCGACUUGUAAACGUUUCAGAAUCAGCUACCAUGCUCAUUGGAGCCAUGCUAAGGAAGAAGAAGCAGACACAUAGGCUAGGCUAGCAGAAGCGUAGUCUGCAGCUAGGAAUAUCUAAAGCCAGUCGCUCAGAAAUUGCUGUGAUGAGUACAUCCAGUGAGGCCUUAUUCACCUUCAUACCAUGGUUAGUAUUUUGGUCAUUCGGUAUUAGUAUAUGACAAGUUAUUUUGACCGUGGCUGACAGAACCGUGCCAAGUACUUACACAUCCCAUUUGCUGCUGCUUUACGUGGCAGACAGAUGCAAAUGGUCAGAUUCUUCUUCUCAGCAAAGGGAAUGGAGCUGGAGCCAUGGAGGAUACCUGCCUGUUGGAAAAAUAAAUGGUCAGACUCUUCUUCCCAGCAAAGGGAUGCUGCUCGUACGGCUUGCUUGAAGCCUGUCCGUCAUUUGUGUCCAAGAAAUGCUAUUCCGUUGAUCUUCACCGAAGGCAGUGAUGUUCCAAGAUAUCAUCAUCACCGUCGUCCGUCGGUUGAUCAUCCCGGUGAUUCACUGAAGAUAGAGAGGAGAGGAGCACCAUUCACUACAAUCCGCGCCAUUGAGCAGCUCAAGAUGCUCUUCAAAUGAGCUGCUUCUUUGCCAUGAACUGCAUGAUCUUGUACCUCAGAAUUGGUAGCAGCAGUAUCUGUCGAAUGCUUAUGGGAAGAUGGCCGAGGUGGUAGGUCUCAGGACCUUUUGUGAAUGAGGCAUGGAAUGGGUGCAGAGGAAGAACCAUCCAAAUCCAGUUUGGCCAUCAGGCUUUUGUUAAAAGUUGUUAUUAAAACUGUGAUGUUGUACAAAGUGAAGUUUUUCUUUCAAAUUGUACACAUUUAUAAAAAAGGCGAAGAUGGUUGAUGUUCACCACAUCUUAGACAUUCUCUAUAUUUAUUAUCAUUGCCAUCGUCUGAUAAAACAUUCUACCACAUCCAUAUUCUCGAGUUAUAACGGCGCAGCGAGGCACACCUUUUCUUCAAGUUACACUUAACUGUUGCUAUGUACGUCAGCUGUAACUAGUAGCUAAGAUGAGCAUGAGGUAUGUCGCGAAAUCGCUCAACAUCACAGCCAUUGUGUGUUCUGAAUGUGUUGUACUGCUCACUGUCAGUAUUCUACAAGAAUUACACUAGCUAGCUAACACGCUUCUUAUUAUGUUAUCUGACGAAAACAUUUCAGAGUCGCUCCCCUGCCGAGGAAGCGUGGCAAGUACCUAAGCAUCUCAUUUGCUGCUGCUUUGCCUGGCAGAUGUGAACAUGGAAUGGUGCUCAUCUCAUCCUAUUCCGUGCGUGCACUCGUGGCGCCUGAUUGCUUGAGCGCGCGCCGGAUGUUGUCUCAGACCCAGAGUUUGGAUUUUACGUUACGAUGAUUGAUGAAUAUAAGUUGCACUACACUUGGAUAGUUUGUAUCAGACAGACCCCAUAGUUGGCCUGACUGGUUUCUUCUGUUGCUGCUAGCCAAAAAUCUCCAAGGACGGACCUACUGAGGGGUGUUGGUGGCAUCUCAGAAAUGAAAGUGUUGUGGACGGAGGGGGACCUGCUGCUGAACAUGCUUGGGAUGGGAGUGCUCUGCUCACCUCAACUUAUGAUGUGAAAAGGAAAGAACCGUGUCUUUAAUUCGCGCCAAUUAAGUCCGGGUCAAAAAGGCCAUCACGAGCGGUAAAGUUCAAUGUUGAUGCCGCGCGCUUUCAGUUCAGAGCGACGAGCGCCGGUGCGGUACGUGAUGCGCGACCACCAUGGCGGUGUGGUGUACGCCAUUGCCAGGGACACACACAUAGAAGCUCUGUCAGGAAAUGUGCAAAUGUGAAGGAAGCUUUACGUCCUCGGUCUGAGUUUGGCGGUCCACUUCUCUCAAGACUACUUUAUCUUUGAUGAGAGCCAUUGGGCGCCUAUACCUGUACAUGAUCUCUCAAGAAUAUUCACUCAGCUACAAUGAACCCCCGUCCCCCCGGUAUAAAGAUGGUCGUAUCUGGAGAUGAAGAAGCUUUGCGUAGGGAGGCAGUUUAUUCAGGUCCACAAGACAUAGAGAAAAUAGCAACAAAGUUUUAUUUUUUGUGCGGGGUUGCACACGCAGAGAUAGCAAAAUCUUCCAACUCAGGAAGCUACCUUUUCACCGGUUCUUGGAAGCUUCUAGAAUCUUUUGGACGUUUUUUUCUCAUUUUUCUUUUCCUUGUUUCUUUGUGCUUUAUUAGUUAUCUUUUAGGCUUUUUUCCGUGUUCAUUUUUUAUUCUUCUCCUUUUUAUUUUUUCUUGUUUUAAAUUCAUGAGAUUUCAGAAUUUGUGAACAUUUAUAAAUUCUUUAUUUUUUUUCAAAAUCAUGAACUUUUUAAAAAUCACGAUAAUUUCAAAAUCUUGAACAUUUUUUCAAAUGUGUUCAUAGCAAAUAUUCGUAAUUUUUUUUAAAUUCAAGAACAUUUUUAAAAAUUUGUAAAUAUUUAGGUCAGUGAACUUUUCAAAUAUAUCAAACAACCGAUAAUUUCUUUUUUUGAGCUGUUUUUUACACAUUCAUGCACAUUGUUUUCAAUUCACGAGCGGAGCAGGCGGUGAGCUAGCGCUACUGGCCCGAGACCCACCGAGCUAGUAAUGCAGUGCUAAAGGUGGCACUAAAUAUGAAUAUAUAUAUUUUUUUCCUUUUUCUCCUCUUGGUUUUCUUUUUCCUACUUUUCAUUUUUAACAAAAAUUGAAAAAAGUUGCUGGAUUUGAUUUUCCUGUUAAUUGGAAAAAUAUUAGGAAAUAUAAUAAAUGUUCCAUAAUUUUAAAGAACGUCCCAGAAUUUGAAAAUGUUCCUAGAUUUUAAAAUAACAAUAAAAUAUUUAGAAAUAUACUAGCAUUUCAAAAAGUGUUAUCGAAAUAAAUAAAUGUAUGUGGAUAUAAAUAUAUCAUUAAUUUAAAAAUGUUCCUGCAUAAAUGUUUUUCCACUCACUAUAUACUCCUGAAUUCUAAAAUUGUUCUUCGAACUCAAAACAUAUUUCCAGAAUUCAAAUAUUCAUGAAUUUGUAAAAAAUAUGCCUGGACUUUCAAAAAUUCUCUCAUGAUUCAAAAAAUGCAUGGAUUUAAAAAUAAAAAGGAUAAAGAUAUAAAAUAAAAUAAAAUAGAAAAAACUGAAAAUAAACCGUUAAAACCAAGAAAAAAACACACAUACACAAAAACAGGUCGGGGAGGUUGGUGAAAACAAACACAGAAAAGACAGGAGCAAAGUCAUAUGCCAGACCCGAAUAACAUGAGAGGGAUGAGCAUUUGUUUUCAAGGUUCAUAUUGGGUGUUUUUCUUUGUUUUUCCACAAUUAAAUAUACUACGUCUACCAGAUUAUAUUCAUCUGCUUGUGUAGUGGUUUUGUUUAUUUAUAGCUGUGAAAUUGAUAUGUAUUCUUCAAAAUGGGCCGGAUAUAUUCCAGCUUUUGGAUGAGUUAGAGAAAGCCAUGUUUAUAAAAACCAGUGCUCCAAGACGAGAAAUAUGUCCCUAUUUUGACGGGUAAGUCUUAGUUUCCCCUUACCUACACAUUUUGCUGCUAAAUUUGCAUAUACACAUAGAAUUGUUGAUAUAGCUUGUACAAACAUAAUGGGGAUCACCAGAGUGAUCAUAGUUUUAAAUAACCAUGAAUGAGCUAGUGGUUCAUGACAUGAAGACAUGCUCUUUAAGACGAUCAAGUGGUUCCGAAUUUUAAUCCAGAAGUUAAUAGUUGAAUGGUUUUGUAGAAUUCAAAUAAUGAAUUUAGGGUUAGGAAAUUAACAAUGCAAUAUGUAACAUAAAUGCUUAAAUCGGUCGUAAAUCAACCUACGAAGUAGAAACUGAAUUUUUGAAAUUUUUUUAAAUGUUGCAUUACCUAAUUGGUGAGGACUUCUGUGUAGACAACACUUUUUGUGUAUGUCUCGCUUGUGCUGAUAUUCGUCUUCUUUUUCUUUAACUUUUUAUGCUUUCCAUUUGUUGUACUGAUCUUCUUAUUCUUCUCCUAGUUCCCUUAAUGUGUACCAAGACAAUAAACCGACAUGACAUUUUGAUACUAAAUAUUUUUACUUUGUGAUAUAGUUUUCACUGAAUGCAUUGUUUUCAAUUCGUUAUUUCACAUACAAUGUUAAAUAUAUAUUACAAUACCAACAAAAAAAUAUUCCAAAAAUAACUAGAACAAUUAACGAUGCCAUAAGACUCUCUUUCCCUUUAGUUUUAGUUUGGGGCAUUAAAGAAAUUCUUUUAUUAAGAUGGAUGUCAGUCCACCAAAUUAAUUUAUGUUAUUUAUCUACUCAAAGUGAAGUUGUUUCCCUACUCAACAAAUUUAACUUAGGUCUUUAAUGAAUUGGAAUGCAUCUAUCUUUAUCCAUACCAGACCUAAAUAUUUACUGAACUUUUGAACUUGGUAGAGUCCUUUGUACUAUAUGAAACUAGCAAAUAACUUUGUAAAUGUUUCUAAAAUUUCAAAGACUGAUAUUUUCGGAUUUAAUGAAAAAGAUAAUUCAAGAAUGUAUGAUGUGGCAACGAUUAUUUUGUCCUAGAUCCCCCGUGUGUACCAUUGGUUGUGGUGCUGCAUUCUUGGUCUGAGAACUUGCUAUCAAAUCAUAACAUUUAGAAUUCAAGUGUCCCAAGGCUAAACUUUAUUAAUGGUACUAGUGUUAACAACGAUGAUAUGUCCAUGAUUUAAUGGCUGAGACAAAAAGUUAUGGCCAGCAAUGGUAACAGGAUGGCCAGCAAUGUGUACCAAGUGUGUCAUUAUGCGAACUAGUUCUAUGAAAAUUAAUGUGUCACGAAUGAUAAUAACUUCAUAAGUUACAAUGAAAUUUCCAAUUUUUAUAUUCCCCCGAGAUGCCUAAGUUCCAUAUAUACUAUGCUUACUCUAUUGUUACUGACUUGGUAACUUAUGUCCAUCCUUAUGAGAACUUUGUACGGUCUCUUUAGUAAAAUCUACUUAUUGGAGCUUGCUGGUCCUAUACAUAAUGCUUCUUACCUUCAAAUUAGCAUUUGAAAAAUUGGUGUUGUACAUAAGGCUUCUUACCUUCAAAUUAGCAUUUGACAUUAUACUGUUGUUGUAUAUCGAUACAAGUGAUGAUGCAUAGAAAUUAUUAUAUAUAAAUAUUUAACUGAGUGCUUAAUGCAACAUUAUUAUCUCGCUACUUGCAUGUACACCUGUCUCUAAUCAAGUGUGUAUAAUGAAUGCUAUAAUAACUUCAGCAAGUUACAAUUCGUACCAUGAGCGAGCUCUGCUUGAAAAAACAAAGACGAGCAAGCUUCUAUUUUUUUGUUUUAUAGUCAUACAUCAAAUAGCUUUUGUGCCUGAGAUGAGUUUCCUUGCUAACAGCUGCCACACCCGUCGGAGUUAGUCAACCAUCGCAUUUUGUGUCCUAUUAUGUUGCUCGCGCAUUUAGUGUCAAAAAACUUUGCAAAGAUAUCACCGUUGUUGUUCUAAUAGAAAAUUCUAUCAGGCAGAAUUUAAUUUGCUGAAGAGACUAUUGUUGCAAAUGUUUUUUGUCAACCAUGGUCACCAUGUCUAGUGUUAGCCGCUCACCGAAGCCGUUGCCAUCCCUGGAGCCAAGGGAGCGGAUGUGGCGAGGAUUGGUGCGAAAUGGAGGUGCCCGCCAAUGAUAGACGUCGCCGAGAUUGAUCGCCUUGUUCAACAGUAUAGGGCAGAACAAUCAUGGACCACCAGCAGAGUCAAAUACAAGGUAGACUCAACAGCUCUGUUCUGUGACAUCCGAUAUUAAUGACAUACUGUUUGGAGUUGUGUCAUGAAGAAUUUUUUGAAGAUUGGAAUGGUUAGGUUGAUCUAUAUGUUUGUCUGUUGUUUUCUAGGCUUUACUGUAUAAUCAAGACUAUGGUCUUUUAAUAGACCACUCUGAUAGACAGCUCUGUUUUGUGGCUCUAUGUUGCAUGGAAAUUUACAAAUUUUAUUGUCUCGAUGCCUCGGUUUCAUAUUAUGCUUACUCUACUGUAAAUGGGCUUACCACGCUUACGUUGACGUCUAGGAUCAUUGUGGAGAAAUGUUUCUAUUGGAGCAUGUUGGUCCUAUAGAUAAGACCUCUUCCCUUCUAAUUAGCAUUUUAAAUUAUAAUGUUUCUGUAUAUAAUAUGGCAUUAUUGUCUUGUUGCUUAUCUCUACACCUGCCCCCUAACGUUAAGUGUCUCUAGGUACUUUGCUCCCUGGCUCAACGGAGUAUGACAAUGUACUAGGUCCUUCUUGUAAUUUUGUAAAUGACACGCUGAAUCUACUAGUUUUGGAUGAGUUUCACGGUCUGAAUCUAGCUAACCCGCUGAAUCUAUUGACAUGGAGUAUGACAAUUUUCUAGGUUCUUCUUGAUUUUUGGAAAAGAAUGUUGGGGAACAUAGUAAUUUCAAAAUUUUCCUACGCACACGCAAGAUCAUGGUGAUGCAUAGCGACGAGAGGAGAGAGUAUUGUCCACGUACCCUCGUAGACCGUAAGCGGAAGCAUUAUGACAACGCGGUUGAUGUAGUCGUACGUCUUCACGAUCCGACCGAUCCAAGUACCGAACAUACGGCACCUCCGAGUUCAGCACACGUUCAGCUCGAUGACGAUCCCCGGACUCCGAUCCAGCAAAGUGUCGGGGAUGAGUUCCGUCAGCAUGACGGCAUGGUGACGAUGAAGAUGUUCUACCGGAGCAGGGCUUCGCCUAAACUCCACGACGAUAUGACCGAGGUGGAAUAUGGUGGAGGGGGGCACCGCACACGGCUAAGGAACGAUCUUCAAGAUCAACUUGUGUGUUCUAGGGGCCCCCCUGCCCCCUUAUAUAAAGGAAGGAGGGGGAGGUGCGGCCGGCCCCCUAGGGGUGCGCCUGGAGGAGUCAUACUCCCACCAGGAGUAGGACUCCCCCCUCUUGCCUUGGUGGAGAAGGAAAAGGAGGGAGGGGAAAGAGGAAAGGGGGGCGCCGCCCCCCCCCCCCUUCCUUGUCCUAUUCGGACUAGGGGGGAGGGGGCGCGCGGCCUGCCCUGGCCGGCCCUCCUCUUCUCCCUCAUGGCCCACUAAGGCCCAUUAACCCCAGGGAGGGUUCCGGUAACCCCCCGGUGUUCCGGUAAAAUCCCAUUUCACCCAGAACCAUUCCGAUAUCCAAAUGUAGGCUUCCAAAAUAUCAAUCUUUAUGUCUCGACCAUUUCGAGACUCCUCGUCAUGUCCGUGAUCACAUCCGGGACUCCGAACAAACUUUGGUACAUCUAAACUUAUAAACUCAUAAUAAAACUGUCAUCGUAACGUUAAGCGUGCGGACCCUACGGGUUCGAGAACUAUGUAGACAUGACCGAGACACGUUUCCGGUCAAUAACCAAUAGCGGAACCUGGAUGCUCAUAUUGGCUCCCACAUAUUCUACGAAGAUCUUUAUUGGUCAAACCGCAUAACAACAUACGUUGUUCCCUUUGUCAUCGGUAUGUUACUUGCCCGAGAUUCGAUCGUCGGUAUCCAAUACCUAGUUCAAUCUCAUUACCGACAAGUCUCUUUACUCGUUACGUAAUGCACCAUUCCGUAACUAACUCACUAGCUACAUUGCUUGCAAGGCUUAUAGUGAUGUGCAUUACCGAGAGGGCCCAGAGAUACCUCUCCAACAAUCGGAGUGACAAAACCUAAUCUCGAAAUACGCCAACCCAACAUGUACCUUCGGAGACACCUGUAGAGCUCCUUUAUAAUCACCUAGUUACGUUGUGACGUUUGGUAGCACACAAAGUGUUCCUCCGGUAAACGGGAGUUGCAUAAUCUCAUAGUUACAGGAACAUGUAUAAGUUAUGAAGAAAGCAAUAGCAACAUACUAAACGAUCAAGUGCUAGGCUAACGGAAUGGGUCAAGUCAAUCACAUCAUUCUCCUAAUGAUGUGAUCCCGUUAAUCAAAUGACAACUGUUUUGUCCAUGGCUAGGAAACUUAACCAUCUUUGAUUCACGAGCUAGUCAAGUAGAGGCAUACUAGUGACACUAUGUUUGUCUAUGUAUUCACACAUGUAUUAUGUUUCCGAUUAAUACAAUUCUAGCAUGAAUAAUAAACAUUUAUCAUGAAAUAAGGAAAUAAAUAAUAACUUUAUUAUUGCCUCUAGGGCAUAUUUCCUUCAGUCUCCCACUUGCACUAGAGUCAAUAAUCUAGUUCACAUCGCCAUGUGAUUUAACACUAAUAUUCAUAUCUGUAUAUGAUUAACACCCAUAGUUCAUAUCGUCAUGUGACUAACACCCAAAGGGUUUACUAGAGUCAAUAAUCUAGUUCACAUAGCUAUGUGAUUAACACCCAAAGAGUACUGAGGUGUGAUCAUGUUUUGCUCGUGAGAGAAGCUUAGUCAACGGGUCUGCCACAUUUAGAGCCGUAUGUAUUUUGCAAAUAUUCUAUGUCUACAAUGCUCUGCACGAAGCUACUCUAGCUGAUUGCUCCCACUUUCAAUAUGUAUCGGAUCGAGACUUAGUGUCAUCUGGAUCAGUGCCAAAACUUGUAUUGACGUAAUCCUUUACGACGAACCUUUUGUCACCUCCAUAAUUGAGAAACAUAUCCUUAUUCCACUAAGGAUAAUUUUGACCAAUGUCCAGUGAUCUACUCCUAGAUCACUAUUGUACUCCCUUGCCAAACCAGGGCAGAGUAUACAGUAGGUCUGGACCAUAACAUGGCAUACUUUUAUAGAACCUAUGACUGAUGCAUAGGGAAUGACUUUCAUUCUCUUUCUAUUUUCUGCCGUGGUCGGGAUUUGAGUCUUACUCAACUUCACACCAUGGAACACAGGCAAGAACUCCUUCUUUGACUGUUCCAUUUUGAACCACUUCAAAAUCUUAUCAAGGUAUGUACUCAUUGAAAAAUCUUAUCAAGCGUCUUGAUCUAUUUCAAUAGAUCUUGAUGCUCAAUAUGUAAGUAGCUUUACUGAGGUCUUUCUUUUUAAAAAAACUCUUAUUCAAGUAUCCUUUUAUGCUAUCCAGAAAUUCUAUAUCAUUUCCAAACAACAAUAUGUCAUCCACAUAUAGUAUUUAGAAAUGCUACAGAGCUCCCACUCACUUUUUUGUAAAUACAGGCUUCUCCAAAAGUCUAUAUAAAACCAUAUGCUUUGAUCAACUCAUCAAAGCGUAUAUUCCAACUCCGAGAUGCUUGCACCAGUCCAUAGAUGGAUCACUGGAGCAUGCACACUUUGUUAGCACCUUUAGGAUUGACAAAACCUUCUGGUUGUAUCAUAUACAACUCUUCUUUAGUAAAUCCAUUAAGGAAUGUAGUUUUGACAUCCAUUUGCCAAAUUUCAUAAAAUGUGGCAAUUGCUAACAUGAUUCGGACAGACUUAAGCAUCGCUACAGUUGAGAAAAUCUCAUUGUAGUCAACACCUUGAACUUGCCAAAAACCUUUUUGCGACAAGUCAAGCUUUGUAGAUAGUAACACUACUAUCAACGUCCGUCUUCCUCUUGAAGAUCCAUUUAUUUUCUAUGGUUUGCCUAUCAUCGGGCAAGUCCACCAAAGUCCACACUUAGUUCUCAUACAUGGAUCCUAUCUCAGAUUUCAUGGCCUCCAGCCAUUUUGCGGAAUCUGGGCUCAUCAUCGCUUCCUCAUAGUUUGUAGGUUUAUCAUGGUCUAGUAACAUGACUUUCAGAACAGGAUUUGAAGGAAAUAUGCCCUAGAGGCAAUAAUAAAGUUAUUAUUUAUUUCCUUAUUUCAUGAUAAAUGUUUAUUAUUCAUGCUAGAAUUGUAUUAACCGGAAACAUAAUACAUGUGUGAAUAAAUAGACAAACAUAGUGUCACUAGUAUGCCUCUACUUGACUAGCUUGUUUAUCAAAGAUGGUUAUGUUUCCUAGCCUUGGACAAAAGAGUUGUCAUUUGAUUCACGGGAUCACAUCAUUAGGAGAAUGAUGUGAUUGACUUGACCCAUUCCGUUAGCCUAGCACUUGAUCGUUUAGUAUGUUGCUAUUGCUUUCUUCAUGACUUAUACAUGUUCCUGUAACUAUGAGAUUAUGCAACUCCCGUUUACCGGAGGAACACUUUGGGUGCUACCAAACGUCACAACGUCACUGGGUGAUUAUAAAGGAGUACUACAAGUGUCUCCAAAGGUACAUGUUGGGUUGGCGUAUUUCGAGAUUAGGUCACUCCAAUUGUCGGAGAGGUAUCUCUGGGCCCUCUCGGUAAUGCACAUCACUAUAAGCCUUGCAAGCAAUGUUACUAAUGAGUUAGUUACGGAAUGAUGCAUUACGUAACGAGUAAAGAGACUUGCCGGUAACGAGAUUGAACUAGUUAUUGGAUACCGAUGAUCGAAUCUCGGGCAAGUAACAUACCGAUGACAAAGGGAACAACGUAUGUUCUUAUGCGGUUUGACCGAUAAAGAUCUUCGUAGAAUAUGUAGGAGCCAAUAUGGGCAUCCAGGUUCCGCUAUUGGUUAUUGACCGAGAAUAGUUCUAGGUCAUGUCUACAUAGUUCUCGAACCCGUAGGGUCCACACGCUUAAGGUUUCGAUGACAGUUAUAUUAUGAGUUUAUGAAUUUUGAUGUACCGAAGGAGUUCGGAGUCCCGGAUGAGAUCGGGGACAUGACGAGGAGUCCCGAAAUGGUCGAUAUGUAAAGAUCGAUAUAUUGGACGACUAUAUUCGCACUUCGGAAAGGUUCCGAGUGAUUCGGGUAUUUAUCGGAGUACCGGAGAGUUACGGGAAUUCGCCGGGGAAAAGUAUUGGGCCUUAUUGGGCCAUACGGGAAAGAGAGAGGGGCUGCGUAGGGCAGGCCGCGCACCCCCCCAAGGCCUAGUCCGAAUUGGACUAGGGGGAGGGGUCGCACCCCCUCCUUCCUUCCCUUCUCUCUUCCCUUUCCUUCUCUCCUACUCCUACUACAUGGAAGGUCUCCUAGUUGGACUAGGAAAGGAGGGAGUCCUACUCCCGGUGGGAGUAGGACUCCUCCCUGGCGCGCCCUCCCUUGGCCGGCCGCCUCCUCCCCCUUGCUCCUUUAUAUACGGGGGCAGGGGGGCACCCCAGGACACACAAGUUGAUCUACGGAUCGUUCCUUAGCCGUGUGCGGUGCCCCCCUCCACCAUAUUCCACCUCGGUCAUAUCGUCGCGGAGUUUAGGCGAAGCCCUGCGCCGAUAGUACAUCAUCAUCGUCACCACGCCGUCGUGCUGACGGAACUCAUCCUCGAAGCUUUGCUGGAUCGGAGCCCGAUGAUCGUCAUCGAGCUGAACGUGUGCUGAACUCGAAGGUGCCGUACGUUCGGUACUUGGAUCGGUCGGAUCGUGAAGACGUACGACUACAUCAACCGCGUUGUCAUAACGCUUCCGCUUACGGUCUAUGAGGAUACGUGGACAACACUCUCCCCUGUCGUUGCUAUGCCAUCACCAUGAUCUUGCGUGUGCGUAGGAAAUUUUUUGAAAUUACUACGUUCCCCAACAGGAUUACCAUACCACUCUGGUGCGGACCGUACUCUGGAAGACCUACGAGGUUCUGUAGUAACUUGAUCAGAAGUUUCAUGAUCAUCAUCAUUAGCUUCCUCACUAAUUGGUGUAGGAAUCACUAGAACUAAUUUCAGUGAUGAACUAUUUUCCAAUUCAGGAGAAGGUACAAUUACCUUAUCAAGUUCUACUUUCCUCCCACUCACUUCUUUCGAGAGAAACUCCUUCUCUAGAAAGGAUCCAUUUUUAGCAACGAAUAUCUUGCCUUCAGAUCUGUGAUAGAAGGUGUACCCAACAGUUUCCUUUGGGUAUUCUAUGAAGAUGCACUUCUCCAAUUUGGGUUUUGAGCUUAUCAGGAUGAAACUUUUUCACACAAGCAUCGCGGCCCCAAACUUUAAGAAACGACAACUUGGGUUUCUUGCUAAACCACAGUUCAUAUGCUGUCGUCUCAACGGAUUUAGAUAGUGCCCUUUUAACGUGAAUGCAGCUGUCUCUAAUGCAUAACCCCAAAACAAUAUUGGUAAAUCAGUAAGAGACAUCAUAGAUCGCACCAUAUCCAAUAAAGUGCGGUUACGACGUUCGGACACACCAUAACAUUGUGGUGUUCCAGGUGGCGUGAGCUCUGAAACUAUUCCACAUUGUUUUAAUUGAAGACCAAACUCGUAACUCAAAUAUUCGUCUCCGCGAUCAGAUCGCAGAAACUUUAUUUUCUUGUUACGAUGAUUUUUCCACUUCACUCUGAAAUUCUUUGAACCUUUCAACUAUUUCAGACUUAUGUUUCAUCAAGUAGAUAUACCCAUAUCUGCUCAAAUCAUCUUGUGAGGGUCAGAAAAUAACGAUACUUGCCACGAGCCUUCAUACUCAUUGGUCUGCAUACAUCAGUAUGUAUUAUUUCCAACAAGUCAGUAGCUUGUUCCAUUGUUCCGAAGAACGGAGUUUUAGUCAUAUUGCCCAAAAGGCACGGUUCGCAAGCAUCAAAUGAUUCAUAACCAAGUGAUUCCGAAAAACCAUCUUUAUGGAGUUUCUUCAUGCGUUUUACACCUAUAUGACCCAAACGGCAGUGCCACAAAUAAGUUGCACUAUCAUUAUUAACUUUGCAUCUUUUGGCAUCAAUAUUAUGAAUAUGUGUAUCACUACGAUCGAGAUCCAACAAACUAUUUUCAUUGGGUGUAUGACCAUUGAAGGUUUUAUUCAUGUAAACGGAACAACAAUUAUUCUCUGAUUUUAAAUGAAUAACCGUAUUGCAAUAAACAUGAUCAAAUCAUAUUCAUGCUCAACGCAAACGCCAAAUAACAUUUAUUUAGGUUUAACACUAAUCCCAAAAGUAUAGGUAGUGUGCGAUGAUGAUCAUAUCAAUCUUGAACUACUUCCAACACUCAUCAUCACUUCCCCCUUCAACUAGUCUCUGUUUAUUCUGUAACUCCUGUUUCGAAUUACUAAUUUUAGCAACUGAACAAGUAUCAAAUACUCAAGGGCUACUAUAAACACUAGUAAGGCACACAUCAAUAAUCUGUAUAUGAAAUAUACCCUUGUUCACUUUGCCAUCCUUCUUAUCCACCAAAUAUUCAGGGCAUUUCCACUUCCAGUGACCAUUUCCUUUACAGUGUAAACACUCAGUUUCAGGCUUUGGUCCAGCUUUGGUCUUCUUCAUGGGAGUGACAACUUGUUUGCCAUUCUACUUGAAGUUUCCCUUUCUUUCUUUUCUUGAAACUAGUGGUCUUGUCAAUCAUCAAUACUUGAUGCUCUUUCUUGAUUUCUACCUUCGUUGAUUUCAACAUCACGAAGAGCUCGGGAAUCGUUUUUGUCAUCCCUUGCAUACUAUAGUUCAUCACAAAGUUCUAGUAACUUAGUGAUGGUGACUAGAGAAUUCUAUCAAUCACUAUCUUAUCUGGAAGAUUAACUCCCACUUGAUUCAAGUGAUUGAAGUACCCAGACAAUGUGAGCACAUGCUCACUAGUUGAGCGAUUCUCCUCCAUCUUUUAGCUAUAGAACUUGUUGGAGACUUCAUAUCUCUCAACUCGGGUAUUUUCUUGAAAUAUUAACUUCAAUUCCUGGAACAUCUCAUAUGGUCCAUGACGUUCAAAACAUCUUUGAAGUCCUGAUUCUAAGCCGUUAAGCAUGGUGCACUAAACUAUCAAGUAGUCAUCAUAUUGAGCUAGCCAAACGUUCAUAACGUCUGCAUCUGCUCCUGCAAUAGGUUUGUCACCUAGCGGUGCAUCAAGGACAUAAUUCUUCUGUGCAGCAAUGAGGAUAAACCUCAGAUCACGGAUCCAAUCCGCAUCAUUGCUACUAACAUCUUUCAACACAGUUUUCUCUAGGAACAUAUCAAAAUAAACAUAUGAAAGCAACAACGCGAGCUAUUGAUCUAUAACAUAAUUUGCAAAAUACUACCAGGACUAAGUUCAUGAUAAAUUAAAGUUCAAUUAAUCAUAUUACUUAAGAACUCCCACUUAGACAGACAUCUCUCUAGUCAUCUAAGUGAUCACGUGAUCCAAAUCAACUAAACCAUGUCCGAUCAUCACGUGAGAUGGAGUAGUUUCAAUGGUGAACAUCACUAUGUUGAUCAUAUCUACUAUAUGAUUCACGUUCGACCUUUCGGUCUCCGUGUUCCGAGGCCAUAUCUGUUAUAUGCUAGGCUCAUCAAGUUUAACCUGAGUAUUCUGUGUGUGCAACUGUUUUGCACCCGUUGUAUUUGAACGUAGAGCCUAUCACACCCGAUCAUCACGUGGUGUCUCAGCACGAAGAACUUUCGCAACGGUGCAUACUCAGGGAGAACACUUCUUGAUAAUUUUUAGUGAGAGAUCAUCUUAAAAUGCUACCGUCAAUCAAAGCAAGAUAACAUGCAUAAAGGAUAAACAUCACAUGCAAUCAAUAUAAGUGAUAUGAUAUGGCCAUCAUCAUCUUGUGCUUGUGAUCUCCAUCUCCGAAGCACCGUCAUGAUCACCAUCGUAGCAUCGUUGUUGUUACGCCAUCUAUUGCUUCUACGACUAUCGCAACCGCUUAGUGAUAAAGUAAAGCAAUUACAGGGCGUUUGCAUUUCAUACAAUAAAGUGACAACCAUAUGGCUCCUGCCAGUUGCCGAUAACUUCGGUUACCAAACAUGAUCAUCUCAUACAAUAAAAUAUAGCAUCACAUCUUGACCAUAUCACAUCACAACAUGCCCUACAAAAACAAGUUAGACGUCCUCUACUUUGUUGUUGCAAAUUUUACGUGGCUGCUACGGGCUGAGCAAGAACCGUUCUUACCUACGCAUCAAAACCACAAUGAUAGUUUGUCAAGUUAGUGUUGUUUUAACCUUUGCAAGGACCGCACGUAGCCACACUCGAUUCAGCUAAAGUGAGAGAAACAGACACCCGCCAGUCACCUUUAAGCACGAGUGCUCGUAGCGGUGAAACCAGUCUCGCGUAAGCGUACGCGUAAUGCCGGUCCGGGCCGCUUCAUCUCACAAUACCGCUAAGCCAAAGUACGACAUGUUGGUAAGCAGUAUGACUUGUAUCGCCCACAACUCACUUGUGUUCUACUCGUGCAUAUGACAUCUACGCAUAAAACCUGGCUCGGAUGCCACUGUUGGGGAACGUAGUAAAUUCAAAAUUUUCCUACGCACACGCAAGAUCAUGGUGAUGCAUAGCAACGAGAUGUGAGAGUAUUGUCCACGUACCCUUGUAUACCGUAAGCGGAAGCGUUAUGACAACGCGGUUGAUGUAUUCGUACGUCUUCACGAUCCGACCGAUCCAAGUACCGAACGUACGGCACCUCCGAGUUCAGCGCACGUUCAGCUCGAUGACGAUCCCCGGACUCCGAUCCAGCAAAGUGUUGGGGAUGAUUUCCGUCAGCACGACGGCGUGGUGACGAUGAUGAUGUUCUACCGGCGCAGGGCUUCGCCUAAACUCCGCGACGAUAUGACCGGGGUGGAAUAUGGUGGAGGGGGGCACCGCACACGGCUAAGGAACGAUCUUCAAGAUCAACUUGUGUGUUCUAGGGUGCCCCCUGCCCCCGUAUAUAAAGGAGGGAGGGGGAGGUGCGGCCGGCCCCCUAGGGGUGCGCCUGGGAGUAGGACUCCCCCCUCUUGCCUUGGUGGAGAAGGAAAAGGAGGGAGAGGAAAGAGGAAAGGGGGGCGCCGCCCCCCCUUCCUUGUCCUAUUCGGACUAGGGGGGAGGGGGCGUGCGGCCUGCCCUGUCUGGCCCUCCUCUUCUCCCUCAUGGCCCACUAAGGCACAUUAACCCCCGGGAGGGUUCCGGUAACCCCCCGGUGUUCCGGUAAAAUCCCGAUUUCACCCGAAACCAUUCCGAUAUCCAAAUAUAGGCUUCCAAUAUAUCAAUCUUUAUAUCUCGACCAUUUCGAGACUCCUCGUCAUGUCCGUGAUCACAUCCGGGACUCCGAACAAACUUUGGUACAUCUAAACUUAUAAACUCAUAAUAAAACUGUCAUCGUAACGUUAAGCGUGCGGACCCUACGGGUUCGAGAACUAUGUAGACAUGUCCGAGACACGUUUCCGGUCAAUAACCAAUAGCGGAACCUGGAUGCUCAUAUUGGCUCCCACAUAUUCUACGAAGAUCUUUAUCGGUCAAACCGCAUAACAACAUACGUUGUUCCCUUUGUCAUCGGUAUGUUACUUGCCCGAGAUUCGAUCGUCGGUAUCCAAUACCUAGUUCAAUCUCGUUACCGGCAAGUCUCUUUACUCGUUACGUAAUGCAUCAUUCCGUAACUAACUCAUUGGCUACAUUGCUUGCAAGGCUUAUAGUGAUGUGCAUUACCGAGAGGGCCCAGAGAUACCUCUCCAACAAUCGGAGUGACAAAACCUAAUCUCGAAAUACGCCAACCCAACAUGUACCUUCGGAGACACCUGUAGAGCUCCUUUAUAAUCACCUAGUUACGUUGUGACGUUUGGUAGCACACAAAGUGUUCCUCCGGUAAACGGGAGUUGCAUAAUCUCAUAGUUACAGGAACAUGUAUAAGUCAUGAAGAAAGCAAUAGCAACAUACUAAACGAUCAAGUGCUAGGCUAACGGAAUGGGUCAAGUCAAUCACAUCAUUCUCCUAAUGAUGUGAUCUCGUUAAUCAAAUGACAACUCUUUUGUCCAUGGCUAGGAAACAUAACCAUCUUUGAUAAACAAGUUAGUCAAGUAGAGGCAUAUUAGUGACACUAUGUUUGUCUAUUUAUUCACACAUGUAUUAUGUUUCCGGUUAAUACAAUUCUAGCAUGAAUAAUAAAUAUUUAUCAUGAAAUAAGUAAAUAAAUAAUAACUUUAUUAUUGCCUCUAGGGCAUACUUGCUUCAAAGAAAACCAGCGGCUACUUAAUUUAGGAAGCGCCCACUUAUUUAGGUUUUUACUUUAGCGUUACUUGCUUUUCUUUCCAGAACUUCGUGGUUGCUGUAAUUUCUACAGCAGUUUUUCUCGACAUGCACAUGGCAGAAAUUAUACUAUUGACCAUAAAAAAAGAAAUUAUACUAUUGUUAGCAUAAGACGUUGGUCGCGCAAACCCUAUUUGCCUCUCAGUGCGAUAAAUUGUCUGUUUUUCCGGUUUUAGAAAAGUUCUAGAAGGUUCUUCUAACCCGUUUUUUCAAAAACAAAAUCUUCUAUUGUUUAUCUACCAGUUCUAUUAUUAAAUUUUGCAUUUUUGGUAUUUAUUUUCUUAUAAAUUGUUCAUGCUAUUUAAAUAUCCAUAAUUUUAUAAGAUGCUCAUGAAAUUAUUAGAAAAUGUUCACUUUUUAAAAAAAGUUCAUAGUUAUAGAAAAAUGUUCACUUUUUUUAAGAAAAGUUCAUAGUUAUAGAAAAAUGUUCACAUGUUUUAAAAAGAUUACCAUUUCUUUGAAAUAUUAUUUUCUAAAGAAUGUUCACAAAUGUUUCUAAAUGACAGGUUUUUUCACAUAAACAUAAUUUACGUUGUGACGCAUAAUAAAGAAAACAAAAUAGAAGCCAGCCGGGCGGGCCCAUGUAUGUACCAUUCCGGCCCUGCAGCAACUACAGGACCGAGCGGGCCACCAUUCCUGGAAUAUUCUAUUUGACGCUAGUUGCGGCAAAUAAAUUGUCGAAGAAACGCACAGGGAACAGGACCGAGCUAGCUACAUGAGCUGGCCCAUUACAUGGGCCGGCCCACUAGCGACAUGGACCGUUUUUUCUGUUGGACCGGCUUUCCUGUUUCUUCUUGGGUUUUUUUGUUUUUCGUUUUUUUCUUUUCUUCUUUUUCCGCUUUUCUGUUUAUUUUUCUUCUUUCUAAAUUUAUUUUCUGUUUUCUGUUUUCUGUUUUUUUGUUUCUUCGUUUAUUUUGGCAUUGCAGAAACGUUUUUUGAAAUUGCAGAAAUGGGGUCUUGGCAGUACUUGUUUGCGCAUUCAAAUAAUCCACAGAAAAAUAAUUCAAAUAAUUCAUAGAAUAAUCCAUACAUCACUAUUUCAUCUAGCGCACACCAAGUGCACGAUGACUUCAUCAAAAUAGUUCACAAAAACAAUGAUAAUAGGCCCCGAAAAUACAACUUUGAACGCUAGAAACUAUUCCCAUCAGGUUACUGAAAAUUGCCAUUCUAGUUUUUUAAAAUUAGGACCGUUUUAGGCAUUGACAUGGUGUUCAAAAAUAUUACCGUGGCCCCUAGUUCUAUCGAAUAAAUGGCACCACUAUAGACAUAUUCAAAAUUUCAAAUCAGCACGGAAAGAUUUUUUGAAUAUUCUGUAUUACAUUAGUAUUACAAACAUUUGAAUUUUUAAAAAUAAGUAUGUUUAAUACAGUGAAAUUAACAAAAAAAAUCAUGUUUUUAAAACUUGGGUACUCAAAAAGAUUGCAUUGUUAUUUUAAGGUUUACAAUAUUAUUGAUAUCUCAGAAUUUUCCAAGUUAGGCAGUACGAUCACUUGCAACACUACAUGAUCAAGUGUAAGUGGAAGAUUCUUAAUCAAACCAGUACAGUUAUUUUUGCAUGAAAAUAAAUUACCAUGUGUUUAAAUUAGUUGUUUUUAGCAGAGUGUGUUUUAAAUUAGUUUUCUUUGAGCGAAAUGCGUAGUAACACGGGUUGUGUGCAAAUAGAGAAAAAGAGUAGGGUUUUUUUUUGAGACGUUGAGAGAAAAGAAGAAGCGGAUGGGCCAAAGCGGUCAGGCCCAUGUACCUGGUGGCCGUGCAACAAUUCAUCAUCGACCAAGCCUUCCAUCCUUCUCUGCUCUGUUCCUGGCGAGUUCAACGGCAAACGAUGGCGGCGCCGGCGAGGGGACGAACGGUGAGCAAGACGAAGACGCGUGCGUCGUCUUCCAGGCCGGCCUUGCCUCCGCCGUGCUGGAACAGGAACUGGAACUGGAAGCAAGCCGCCGGGUCAUGUCAGGUCAGCCCUCAUCCACCUGCCCGCCCGCCAUGUGCUUGUGCUUAUGCCACUGCCACUGCCACCGAGUAGGAGUAGUUGUGUGCCCAAGACCACGAGGUAGCCUCCCUCCCUCCCUCCCUGGCUUGGGUUGGCAUGGCUGGAGUAUUUGUUUGUUGGCUUGGCUUGCCUUGCCUUGCCUUGCCUCUUCACAAACAAAUACUCAGGUCAUUCAUUGCUCACCAACAAACGCACAAGAGCGCGCAGUCAGUCAUAAAUAAUGCUGGGCGAGAGAGACAGAGGGUAGAAAUUAACACGGCGGGCCAACUACUCUACUCGAGAGCAGAGCAGGGCAGGGCAGGGCAUGGCAUCCAAUGCGUUUCUUCCCUCCAUCCCCAUCCGGCCCCAUCCCUGGUUCAUGCAUCUUUCAUCAAACGUACUCCUAGAAUUCAAUUGGUACGUCAGUAUCCCGCAAUAACUUGUUUGCUUGCUUCUCACAAAGUGUACUGUGUGUUCUGCCCAAGUUUUCCAACCCCCUCUUCUCCAACAGAUUCAAAUUUCAAAACAGACAGCCACACCACAAUAUUUGGGCGACGACCAAUUCAAACCAAACUUAGUAGUCGCCGGGGGGUUGUGGAUUCAUUCAUGCUAAUCACAAAACAAUAUCUGAAAUGAGUUUGGUUUAUGUUAUUAUUAUCAAGGAAAAAAAUAAAACUAAAUAUGUCUUCGUCCAAUGGGUAUAUUCUUACACAAAUCCUUCAUUAUUUCUGUGUCAUUUUCAGAAGCAUUCCAUACAACUAUCAUUAUUUCUGUGUUAUUAUUAUCAUUAUUUUUUAAUCAAUUUCAGAAGCAUUCCAUACAACUAUUAAUUUUUUUAAUUGGUUCAAAACAAUGUACAAAUAUAAUUUGUAGAUUUAACACAUUUCAAUUAUUUUUAUAUUCAAUCAGUUCUAGAAACAUUCCACAUACAUUUCACACAAAUUUCUUUUUAUUCAAGACACGUGUCAAUCUGAUAAUUGAAGUUACAUUUUUAUGAAAAAUAAUAUGAAGGUUUUUCAAAAUUUGGAACCAUCUUGAAUUUUGUAAUUGUGGGAAAUAAGCAUAUUUGAAACUAUUGUGAGUCGUCGUGUUUAAAUAAGAGGUUGCCUGGUAGGCUAGUCGCACAGGUGCGCGACGGUGAUGUUAAUCUUGGUGGGUAAUGCAAAGGCACACCAUCAUGCAUGGCUGCAUUCACUCUUUAUCCACGGCAAAAUUCUCCUCCUGCUUUGUGGAGUCCAUGGUCCGGAGGUCGACGCCGCACCCCGGAAAUAAAAGCGGCUGCUGUCGCUCGGCCUUGACGGUGUAGUUCUGACCUAGCAAGAAGUCAGCUUCAAGCCGAGGGUAGCUUGAAAGCGGUGUUAUGAGCUGACUCUGCUCAUCUGCCACAUAGCUUAUUCCACGAGCAGUGUACCUGAGUUUCAGACUGGACACAAACACAUGCAAGUUAAUUAAUUUGAAAUGUGCAUGUGCACCUCAAAUCUUUGCAUGUUCCAACAUGUUUGCCUCCAGCGCCGAGGACGAGGAGAAGGACAUGUUGUCGCCACCAAUGGCGGAAUGGGUCUGAAACCCAUUGCCGCCGAUAGUGGCCGUGGUGAGGCGCGGCACAUCGGACUAGGAGAAUCAUCUAUUAGAUCAAUGUUAUUUGCACAGGGGGUUACUCAUGUGAGGUAUAACGGAGAUAUACAAAUUUACCGGUAGGUACGACCCUGUGGCAGAGGAGGACGAGGCGGCCGGCAGUUGGGACUCGGGGACGAGCUGCGGCUUUCUUGAACGGUGCUCGUAGAACUUGGAGCCGGAGGCGGCCGGCGGUUGGGACUGGGGGAUGAACAGUGUUUUCACGCGCUUUCUUGAAUGGCGCUCGCAAAACUUGGAGCCGGAGGCAGCGUCGUUGGCACACCGCCACUUCUUGCCGUCCACACGGCGGCACCGCGCCAAUUGUCGAACGGACUCCAUCUUGUUGCCCGAUCCAACUGCACAAAGCCCGCAAAUCCGAUCGAUCAGUACACUGCACACGCAGGAUGCAGAUGCAAGGUAAAGUUGCCUAUUCGUCAAUCCUAAAAACUAGUCAGAUUUGCAGCAAAUAAAAAAAAAGUGUAGAAAAAAGAAAAGGUUCCUCCUCUUAAGCAGGGCAAAUCGACAUGUUACUCGACCCUAUGCUACUCUGUUUUGGACAUGAGGACGCGUUUUGAACCCUCCCCACGAAACCAUGUGCGUAAAAACCUUGAAAAUAGAUUAAUGAAAAACAAACACACACACACACACACACACACACACACACACAGAGUUUUCGGUGGAACGCACGCACGGACGCGUUUCACGAAUAGCGCAUCCCCAAACAAAAGACCGAACGGUAAAAGCGGCGCACUAGCACAACCAUACUAAAUAGUACAAGAAAUCGGAAGAUUUGCGGCGAAGAAGAGGUACCGGAGAGGGGGCGGCGAGGGAUUCCAUGCUAGGAAGCACGAGACCUGGACCCGGAGUGGCGGGCAGGCCGGACAUCAGGUGAUUCUAUACCCGCAUUAAGGUUGAGCCGUUCGAUAUUGUCAAAUCAAAUGUUUUCUCGACCUAGUGGGUUACAAUGAGUGAGCCAACAUGCCAUUUUGAUAGUAAAUAUUUUUACUCUAUGAUAUAGUUUUUCAUUGAAUGCAUUGUUUUCAAUUCGUUACUUCCCAUAUAAUGUUAAAUAAUAUAUUCCAAUACCCACAAAGAACAUUCCAAAAAUAACUAGAACAAUUAACAAUGCCAUAAGAAUCUGUUUCCUUUUUGUUUUAGUUUGAGACAUUUAAGAAACUCUUUCCUUAAGAUGGAUCUCACUCCACCAAAUUAAUUUAUGUUAUUUAUCUAAUCAAAGUGAAGGUGCUGUCCUACUCAACAAAAUUAAUUUAGGUCACUAAUGAAUUGGAAUGCAUCCAUCUUUAUCCAUACCACACCUAAAUAUUUACUGAACUUUCGAACUUGGUAGAGUCCUUUGUACUGCACGAAACUAGCAAAUAACUUUAUCAAUGUUUCUAAAUUUACAAAGACAAAAAAGAUAAUUCAAGAAUGUAUGAUGUGGCCACGAUUAUUUUGUCCUAGAUCCCCGUGUGUACCAUUGGUUGCGGUGUUGCUUUCUUCGUCUUAGAAAUUGCUAUCAAAUCAUAACAUUUAGAAUUCAAGUGUCCCAAGGCUGAGCUUUGUUCAUUUGACUAUUAUAGUAGUUCUCACAACAAUUAGAUAAUCAAACUAAAAAUUAAUGGUACUAGUGUUAACAACGACGGUAUGUCCGCGAUUUAAUCGAUGAGACAAAAAGUUAUGGCCAGCAAUGGUAACGGGAUGACUACGCCCAAUGGUAACAUAAAAAAAUUGAGUAAUGAGACUUCUGACAAUAUACUAUUGUUGUAUACUGAAUUACUGAACAAGUGGUGAUAUUUAACUAAAGUCCUUAAUGUAGCAUUAACCUGCUACUUAUUUGUUCACCUGCCCUCUAAUCAAGUGUGUCAUUUUGCGAAACUAGUUCUAUGAUAAUUAAUGUGUCACGAAUGAUAAUAACUUCCUAAGUUACAAUAAAAUUUCCAAUUUUUAUAUUCCCCUGAGAUGCCUCAGUUCCAUACUAUGCUUACUAUAUUGUUACUGACUUGGUAAGUUAUAUCCGUCCUUAUGAGAACGUUGUAGGGUCUCUGUUGUGAAAUCUACUUAUUGGAGCUUGUUGGUCCUAUACAUAAGGCUUCUUACCUUCAAAUUAGCAUUUGAAAUUGGUGUUGUACAUAAGGCUUCUUACCUACAAAUUAGCAUUUGAAAUUGUACGGUUGAUGUAUAUUGAUACAAAUGGUGAUGCAUAUAGAAAUAAUUAACUGAGUGCUUAACGCAACAUUACUGUCAUGCUACUUGCAUGUACACUUCUCUCUAAUCAAGUGUGUACAAUGAAUGCUAUAAUAACUUCAGCAUGUUAGGUUCGUGCCAUGAGCCAGCUCCGCCAGAAAAAACAAACACGAGCAAUCGUUGAUUCGUUUUUUUAGUCAUACAACAAUAGCUUUUAUGCGUGAGAUGAUUUUCCUUGCUGACAACUGCCACACCUGUCGGAGUUAGUCAACCAUCGCAUUUUGUCUCCUAUUAUGUUGCUCGCACAUUUGAUGUCAAAACCUUUGCAUAAAUAUCACCGUUGUUGAUCUAACAACAAAUUAUAUUAGGCGGAAUUGAAUUUGUUGAAGAGACUAUUGUUGCAAAUGUUUUUUUGUCAGCCAUGGUCACCAUGUCUAGUCUCAGCCGCUCACCGAAGCCGUCGCCAUGCCUGGAGCCAAGGGAGCGGAUGUGGCGAGGAUCGGUGCCAAAUGGAGGUGCCCGCCAAUGAAAGACGUCGCCGAGAAUGAUCACCUUGUUGAACAGUAUAGCGCAGAACAAUCAUGGACCAUCAGCAAAGUCGGAUCCCAGGUAGACUCAACAGCUCUGUUCUGUGACAUCUGAUAUUAAUGACAUACUCUUUGGAGUUGUCUCAUGAAGAAUUUUUUAAGAUUGGAACGGUUAGGUUGAUCUAUCUAUUUAUCUGUUGUUUUCUAGGCUUUACUGUACAAUCAAGACUAUGGUCUUUUAAUAGACCACUCUGAUAGACAGCUCUGUUUUGUGGCUCCAUUGUUGCAUGGCCAUUUACAAAUUUUAUUGGCUCGAUGCCUCGGUUUCAUAUAAUGCUUACUCUACUGUAAAUUAUACGUCCGGAGCCGGACUAGCACCGCUUAGUUGAUGUACAUGUAAUGAAAUCCGUCAUGUUUAUAUGAAGUCUGGACCGUGUUUAUAUGAAAUCUGUCAUGUUUAUAUAAAAUCCGGUCUUGUUUGCAUGAACGUCAUCCGGUUUGUUGAAAAAGAGUUUGAAAUGUAUGCGGCUAUGGUUGAAUGUCGUCCUCCCGCAUCCGUGUCCACGGACUGGUCCCGCUGUCCGCGGACGGACGCGGGAGGAAAUUUGCGGGUUGUUGUUGGAGAUGCCCUAACGCACAAGCUAGACUACAUGUAAAUGUGAGCACUAGGUUUUUCUAUAUGUCCAUGGAUCUAUUCUUGCAAGCAAAUUGUGUAAAAUGAAGCAAGUCUGACAACACAUUAAUUUGAACAGAUAAUCACAGUGCUGCUGCUCUGGUGACCAUGACAAAGCAGGUACUGCCUUCCCGUGACUCCCUUGGGCUCCAUCCACAUUAUCCGCUCAUGCCAGCUGGUGACUCCUUUCAAACUUCACCAUCUAACAUGUGCAAGAUUAUCCUUUUCUACUUAGAUAGAUCACUUCAAAAAAGGUAUAAAAAUCAAGCAAGAAAACGGAUGCGCUAACGCGCAACGGCUUUCGCGCUAGUUGUUCAAUCCAUUGCUUGCUUCUCUUCUGUCUUGGAAAUGGUGCCUGAGUGCCCAAAAAAGAAAAACCUAUUCAUCUAUAGUAAGCUACUGUGAGACUUUGGUAGGUCAAGUCGAUCAAGGAAAAUCCAGACCAGAUCUCUCUCGCUCUCCCAAUUAUUACCAGGCAACAUCAACAGCGUGUGUCCCAUCCGGAUCAAAUCGAUUUGGGAUAAGUAUACUUUUCGUCCUCGAACUCUUCCUAGAGUUUAGAAAUCGUCCCUCAACUCUAAACCGGAGAGUUUUUAUCCCUCGACUAUCAAAACUGGAUAGUUUUCGUCCCUCGUGCCGCUUCGGGCGGUUUUAUUCCGGGGUAAACAGUAAAUCGGUGAACAGUAAAAUCGAAAAAAUAGCAACAAAAAUCAAAAGAAUCUGAAAAUUUACAGCAUCGAAGAUACUUUGGUGCACAAGACACAUGCAAAAUUUUGUGGUGUUUUGAUAUUCGAGCAGCUCGUGGCAAACAAAAAACUACAAAUAUGUACGUCAGUGAACAGUAAAUUCAAAAUAAAUAGCAAAAAAUUUCAAAGCAGUAUGAAUUUUUUUGGCAUAAAAGAGACUUGGGUGCCCAACGUGCGUGCAAAUUUUCGUGAUGUUGGGUAUUGUACGAACUCGUGACAAAAAAUAAAUUUUGGCUCAGAUUUAUUUUUUUGAAAAAGUGCGCUAUUUUUUUUGGCUAGAGCUCCUCGUAUGUCAUUUGAUCACGAAUUUUUGCAUGCAUCUUGCGUACCUGAGCAUCUUUGAUGCCAAAAUGUUUCAUGUUUUUUUUGCUAUUUUUUAAUUUACUGUUCACCGACUACAUAUUUACAGUUUUUUGUUUCCCACGAGCUGCUCGAAUGUCGAAAUACCACAAAAAUUUGCACGGGUCUUGAGCACCAGAUUACCUUCGAUGCUAUAAAAUUUCAGAUUUUUUUGAUUUUCUUUUGCUAUUUUUUCAAUUUUACUAUUCAUCCCGGCCACCGCCCAAAGUGGCACGAGGGACGAAAACUAUCUGGUUUUGGUAGUUGAGGAACGAAAACUCUCCAGUUUAGAGUUAAGGGACGAUUUCUAAACUCUCGGAAGAGUUCGAGGACGAAAAAUAUACUUAUCCCAAUCGAUUUUAGCACUUUUUACACGACCAUGCUGUGCCCUUUUUACACGGCCAAGUAUUACCACUAGUAGACUUUCUACUACCGUGACGAACCAUUUUUGGCCAGAAAAAAAAAAGAAAAUAGUCUUUAUUCAUUCAAAUAUGGAAACAAAAGUACCGUGUACACACACACACACACACUUCAGCAGGUUUCUCACGAAGUCUGUAUUGCGUUUGGCCAGAGCGCCUAAACUCCAGCUUAACUUAGCAUAUUCUCGUUUUGCCAAACAAUGCUUGUUUAGUUAUUCAUAUUUACAGACAAACACUCCCAGGCCCUACGUAGUAUAGUUUUGAAUCAUUACGUUGGCAUGGUAGUGCCAAAUUAUCCGGUGAGAAAAAAUUCCGACAACGAAAAGUCUCAUAGCGAUUGGGUGAGUUGUGUAGGAUUAAGGACCUUUGGAAUCAAAAUUAGGACAGUCAUUGAUGCUCUCCACGCUUUCUUCUCCUUUUAUGAUUUUCAGCACAACAUUAGUAAUUUCUUCCCCAUACAGAUCCCAAUGUCUGUGAUAAAAGUGUGCACGGAAUCCAUCCGGGCCAGGGCCAGGGGCCUUUGUUGGAAACAUCUGGAACAGCGCACACUUCACCUCCUCAUUAGUAUAUGGUGCACAAAGAGCUACAUUCAUACCUUGGGUGACCCUGCACGGCACAUGCGAUAAAACAACCUCAACAUUGUCCACGCCCUCUGAUGUUUCUUCAUAAAAAGAGGAGACCAUGCCCUUGAGUUCUUCUGGAUCAUCAACUUGGACCCCAAGCGCAUUUGUGAGGGCUUUAAUCAUGUUUUUCUUCCGCCGGAGACUAACCCUCAUGUGAAAAAAAUUCAUGUUCUUAUCUCCAGCGGACAGCCACUCAAAUUAGCUCCUCACGGUGGUACUCCCUCCAUCCCAAAUUACUCGUCGCGAAAAUGAAUGUAUUUAGAACUAAAAUACAUCUAGAUACAUCCAUACAUGCGACAAGUAAUUCGGAAUGGAAGGAGUACCUCUGAACAAGCUACUCAUUCAACUUGAUUUCGAUAUGUGAGGGCCUCACCCUGUUUGUAUCAUUGCGUAAUGUUUCUAUUAGUCUACACUACUAUUAAACGAGAGAACUUGACGACAGAGGACGAAAACUCUGCCCGUAAAACAACCCACGCCCGCACGAGUCUACAGGUAAAUCCACGUCCUUUUCUCAAAAAAAAAAGGGUAAGAACCCACGCCCAAAUUACACGGAGAGUCAUACACGGAAAACAAAUGAGUCAUACACGGAAACAACUGAGCUAAAUUAGCGGGAAUCAAUCCAGGCUCGACGUCCAGAUUACAUGCCCCGUCGCUGCCCUGCGCAGCCGCUAAGGCACCCGACGACGGCCGCGACGUCGCUGCCCUGCGUAGCCGCCGAGGCACCCGACGACGGCCGUGGCGACGAGGUCACCGAGUCACUCGAUGACGGCCACGACGACGUGUUGUUCCCCAACACAGGUGCAGCCGCAUAGACGCCCUGCCACGGCCGCGACGAGGAGCUCCUCGCCGACAUAGGUGCAUGCUCUUCUCUGAUCUGAAGUUCGAAAGGCUUUUACAUGCCGCUGCCGCCAAGGCUUCGUUAGGCUAGAAGACGCCUCCACCCUGCUCCUUUCUCAACCUGUUCAUGUGAUCCAUCAAUUGUUUUGACUGAAUAAAAUUAUGAAGAACAAGGAAAGUGUAUGCACUGGUGAAUUAUGACAUGACAUAUGCUAACAAUCCCUGUUGUCCGUACCUGACCUAAACCUGACGUCGUUUCAUGAAUCCUUGUCAAAUGAGCAUUGUACUGACCUCACCUAAAUGCCUCAUCAAG
rnacentral:lncRNA from 1 species